GAGUAGGAAUGUAGGGAUCUAAACAAAGGCAGUACGUUUAAUUGUUGUUAGGUGUAUAGGAUCUAUGUGUUUUGUGGCUUGCCAGAAGUGUGUAAGUGGCCGUAUUAAUGUAACAGUGAGCUGGGUUGUGAGGGAAGCCAUCAUAGCUAAGGUACCUGUAUCCCAUCAAUUGGCUGAUCACUUGCUACAAUUAGGUACUACUGUACUUCUUUUAAAAAAAAAUUUUUUUUAUUGCACCUUUGUCGAAUAAAAUCUCUUCUAGGUGUCCAACAAUACAAAGUUCUGUGUACAUCCUACAUGGAUUUAUGCACCGAACUGAAUACCUUAAAGCGUCUGGCUAGCUCAUAGGAGUGCAGUAGAUUAGCGAGCUUUGAUUGACAAUAAGCAAAGAAGUUACUGUAUCUGCAGUAAGGCAGUAAAUGAGGAGAAGAAAAAAGUUCCAACUGCUUCAAAAAAUGUGAUAUAUGCUGAAAUUAUCCAAGGUUCUCGGGCGCACAACUUCAAAAAAAAUUCAGCGUUAAUGGGAAUUGAAAACAUACCCUUUUUCAUCACUGAUCCUAUCGAAACGAAUACCUUCACGAUAUGUGUAGCGGUGAGCAUCUGAUGAAACGUUGACUAUCCUCCCCUCUUUCUUACUUUUGUAAUACGUUUUCUUCAUGGUGUCCAGCAACAGGUUCGUUAAAAGAAAAUGACCUGCAUUUCACAAUGACCAGACCAGUUAAUGUCUUAACCAAAGAUUCAAUGGAGAAAAAGAAAUUACCUAAAUGAUUCGUGGCAAACUGUAAUUCUAUGUUGUCCUGGGAUAGCUUGAAAGGGGCACCCAUGAUUCCUGACAGGUGCCGAACCUGUGCAAUAAUAAAUACCUACUCGAGAAAAAUACAGAUUUUGUAUAUAGCGGUGAGUAGGGUCGAAUCCACAGGGACUGGGGAUAAUUCGUUUCUUCUAGAGUUCAAAGUAUGGGGGGUUUUGGAUUAAAUGCCAAUUAAACAAAUUAAAUGCAGAAAGUAAUUAAUUCAAAGAAAUAAUUAAGGGAAAACUCUAGCCAAGGGUACACGUCAGAAAUGGUUCAGGCACUGAUCAUUGAUUCACAGAUAAUUCCAACAUCUAGUAAUAGAUUAGUUAUAGUUGUCAUGCACGCGAUAAACAACCAACCCUUUCUUAAUUUUUCGAUAGCUAAGGUACGACCGUUAGCUAUUUCUCUAACCCAAAAACAACCCCAGGUACGACCGUAGGAUUUAAUUUCUAGAUUGCAUUAAUAAUUAGAAAGGCCCAAUCCUAACUAACAAACACGCUACGAGGGUUUGUUUAAGCUAGAUCAUAUGCUCCCCUGACAUAAACCCAAUUACGCCAGUUGCUACUGAGGUAGAGAUAACGAACAAUUACGGAUUCAAUUACCCCUAUUUAGCAAAAUAGCCCCUAUGAAUAAUUAAUUAUUGCGCACUAAUCAAUCAUACACAAGAGCUAUAACAGUUAAAAGUAGGAAACACAUGAAUACCAAUAAAUGGAGGAAACAAUUAAAAUAAAUUCGAUCUCACAGUAAUUGUUGAACCAAAUCUUCAGUUGUCCCCUUGACUAGAAUUAGAAAAUUAGUUCAUAAUUGAUGAACUAAAUCCGCCAGAAAUUGUAGCAAAAGCUGCGGCCAUCAAUUGGGAAGCUGGGCGAAUUCAAUUCGUCUAUUCAAUAAAGAAAGAAAGCUACAAGAGUCCACUGAGUGUGUUCGCUUUUGUCCGACAUUCGGAGAAGAGAAAUUGAAUAGGCAGAAUCAAAGACAUAAGCUAAGCUCCUCAGCAAUCUUCCAUGCGUGGGAAAAAGCUAACUAACAAAGACUAAGAAGAAAAGUCAACAACUGCGGCUAAGCUACAAGACGAAAAGCUCUCCAAAGAGAAAUCAAAAGCUAAGCUUCCGUAGUGCUAGUCCUAUGCUAUUUCUAUAUUUCCUAUCUCCUUUGCGGCGGCUCUCCUUCCGGAGAGGAAGAAGCCGACCCCCGCCUUCAGCCCUUCGUUGCUCCUUUUAAUGCUUUUGUCUUCGGCAAUUACUAAAAUGGGCAUAAGUUUGCCUUUGCCAACAAUGCCCCUGGGAUAAGCUCUAUACCUUAGACUCCUUUUCUGUCAAAUUAGCACUUGUUAUCAUAUUUUCGUUCUACUCCCUGGAAUAUAUGCAAAACACUAAAAAUGAGUAGAAUUCAGCAAUUAAUCUACAUCGGGUCAGGUAAUAGGGAAAAUUAAUAAUAAAAUAAAUGAUAAAAUUGCAACCUAUCAAUUCCUGCAUUAUUACUUGAGAAUGAAGAACAUGCUUCAAAGAUCAGAAAUUCUUGAUAAUACAAAACAUUUUUGAAUAAUCUGCUGCUCUGCUUACAUUAGGAUAUUCAAGGGAUGACCCAACGAAUUAAACUCUGAUGCAAAUCUUCUUACAGAUGCCUUUGAACAAAGAUCCAACUCCAUGACAUCGAUCUUGGCUUCAGGGAUUUCCUUCACAAUGGCUUCUCUAACCUUUUGGCCUGCAGCCAUGUUUCUGACUGCAAUUGUGACAUGGACUCCACGCAGUGCAAGAACACGGGCCGUUUCAGUACCAAUGCCACUUGAUGCACCUGCAAUAAAAUGCCAAUUGCCACCAUCAUCAAAUGAUUCGCUUGUUUGAAGAAUUUCAUUACAUCCAAUUAAUCCCACGUUUUGAUAUUCAUGUUAUUUUUAUUGGUGCUCAUGCUUUGGCGUAGUGGUCAAGCUGAAGUUUAAGGACGCAGAAGUCCAGGAUUUAUUUGCACAUGCAUUUCAUGAGCAAUGUUGCUAGGCAUUCUAGCUAGCAAAAGAUAUCGGGAUCCACUUCCCACAGACUACGUAACCCAGAACUCCGAUCAUGAACUACGUGAAACCCGCGGAGCUUUAAAUAGAAAUGUUGGAGCAUGAGGUUACCAUUGCGAAGUGCAAUAUGAAUAAAUGAACUGAGUUCGAGAAAAAAAAAAAAAAAAGACGAAGAGAUGGGAAGAUCACCAGUGACAAUGGCAGUGAGACCAGAGGCGUCAAUGCCCUCAGUGACUUCUUCCGCGGUGGAAGAGGAUGAAAAUCCAGACGACCCUUUUGUGUUGCACAACCACAUCUUUUCCUUCAAGUUCAAGAUGCUUUCUUUUUCUAACUUACUUUGUUUAAUGGCUAGACCUCUUUGUUCAAGGGGGAAGGAGAACGAGGAGGGAAUUGCACUAACCCCAGUACGUAGUAGUGAUUGCAGGAUGAUCAAUACUUGAUGUUCUUUGGCGAUGGGCCAAAUGCCAAAUGUGUGCGCUACUGUAAUCUUCAAUAUUUAAAGAGAUUGAUUGUUGAUUGACGGAUAGUGGUUGUUUCAGUCGCAUUGUCAGCUCUGUAUCAUACAAAUGGAUACGUGUAUCAUUUUGGAUUUGGCAAUUGAUGGAUGGACAGCAAUCUGGAAUCGGGCUGCCCAUUCCAUCCUGAUGGGGUUACAACUUAAAAUUCCACGAUCGACGUCGCCUUCGCUGAAGCAUAAGAACAUGUGGAUAUAGGGAGAACCACAAGGCACCAACAUCCCGCUUCUCAAACCAAAAAUGGGCUAUAAUUAGCAGUAGUUAGAUGUCAGUCGUCGAGUCUGAAGUCAACAGAGUAAGCUAAUUGAACUUGUGCUGCUAAUAAAUUCUGGAGUUUGAUUGAAGUUGAAUUAAAACGCUUGCUUGCUUGCGCGCUUAACUGGCAUCAGUUUCUGUUGAUAGGAAAGACAGACGUUCUUCGUUGGUUGCGCACUUCUGAUUCGAAUGAAAACCAGUUUAAUUGCGACCUCCAACCUUGCCGUAAUGACGGAAAAAGGAUUGGUCACAAUUGCUCCAACAUCGACCAGACUUCAUAGUUGCCCCAUCAUCCUGUUUAAGGAACAUAAGCAUAUUUGAUUUUACUUGAAAACUAAUGACAAAAGUGUUACUUCAAUAAAAAUUUACGUACUCUUCAAUACCCGCUAGUGUUUAUGAAUCUCUCAGCUGGAUAAAGUCCAGGGUUCUCAGGAAGGGGAGCAAGCAGUAAUCUUAGAAGCUGGAAUUAAAAGUCUACAGACGGUUAACACGGCACCUAAUUUAUCCUAGUAUCUAUUACCAGUUUCAUAAAAGCGCCUAGAAAGUUAAAUACACAAAAAUUGUCUAGUUAGGGGAGGACUUAUAAAAUUUUUCGUUACUGUCAGAUUCAGAAUUCGAAUCCUAUCCUUGUCAGAUUCAGAAUUCGAAUCCUAUCCUUGACUGACGGGGGUAGGGAGGGGCAUGGGGAGCGUGGGAGGUAUAAAUAAAAUUAAAAAAAAAAAAAACAAUUGGGAGUAGAAAGGGUGUGGGGAGGAAUGAGAAUAGAACAGUUUGUUAUUUGAGAGUUUUAGGAGAGAAAUAGGAAAAAAUGAUUUUAUUUUGUUUGGAAGUAAAGAGAAACAGAAGGAAAAGAUUCUAUUUUACAUAAAUAUCCUUAAGGAAAAGCUAGUGUAUUGAAAAAAUUUCUGAAGUCCCUUACAUUUCCAUCGCUUUCUGCUCAAAACUACUAAGGUGGAAGAAUUUCAGUACUGUGGGGGAUGAUAGGUCCCCCCCCCCCUCUCCUCUCUCUUCAUUUCCUUCAUUGCUAAAACGGAAGAAAUCACUUGCAUUCCUUACGAGUGCCUUCUUUAUUCUCCAAAUCAGAUCUAAAAACUCGUGGAUUUAUAUUUAUGGCUUUCCCUCUAACUCCUUUAAAAUCUUCCAUUAAUGAUAACUUAGUAAGAUUACUAGUCUAAGGUACCUUCCGCCCUGGCCCUUCUCGUCCACCUACAUGCUGUGCGGGGAAAGACUGCACUUUAUAGUCCUGGCCCUUCUCGUCCUCGUAAAGGUUCAAAUCUCCCCCACAUAUUUUGUUCUUCGAUGACGUUGUUACGGAUGAAAUAAGGUAAACCCACAAAAGUAAUAGCGAAAAGUCUCGCGCCGUUCGUUCGGGGAAAGACUGAACCCAAAAUGGGCACGGACUAGUUCAAGUAAUGCCACUAAAGCAUAAUCAGGGAUAAACCAGAUAUCAUCCACUCUUAACAGCAUUACAGACCAAGAGGAACAGAGCAUCACUUGCUUCACCACGAUGGAUGAGAAGACAUGCAUGAUGCCAUACUCAAUGGAGGAGCAAGCCUGUUAAGUAGGAAAAGCCACGAACAUACACACACUACUAGAAACUAUCUCAUAGCACACGACAACAUAGGUUUUUUCUUUUUUUGGUCUAUUUUUCCUGGAAGAUUUGGCUUCUCAGGAAUCAUUUGGUUUGGUUAAGCUGACGCUAAAAUCCCAGAGUCUCCUUGCCAAAUCCGCGUCCAUGGCCAUUGAGCUUGCUUUAGCUAUGUUACAGUUGUCAAAAUAUUCGCCCCUUAUUCCUUUGACUUGCGGAUGCAAUGCUACAUAGCAUGUUGUCGAUGCUCCCUGAUAUCAGGUCAGUGGAGGGAGUACCAAAUAGUUAACACCUUUUUCAUGACAGACUUGACAAAUUUAACACAAACGUGAGCCAAUAUGAUUUUAGUACGAGGCAUAACUUACUUGUGGAAUGUUUUUAUACACAAAUUUUCCGAUAAUACUUCCAAGGCCUGCAUCAGAUAAAAAAAAGCAGAUACAUGAGAAAGACCACACAUUUUUUAGAUGUUUACAUCAAGACAAGAUCUCCACUGAUGAUUUCAAGACAUAAAAGAACAUUCUCCAGCCAGGAUUUGGGGUUUAAGGCAUACAAUACCAUCCCCUAACAACGUCAUCAACACCAUGUGUUUCAUCAUAGCAGGGCCAGUAGGGCUUGGUGUACCAAACAGAAAUUCAAAGAACACCUAGCCCUUCUGACAACUGGCAAUGCAAGAAGCAUUUAUACUAGGGUUCAUAGCUUGCCACUAGAAAUUUGAAGCUAAUUGAACCUUUUUAAAGCAUGCAUAAACAAAGCAUAAUACAAUAAAACAAAACCACCAAAUAGCGAAGCACAAAAAAAAUAACACAUUCAGAAGGCUAAUGCAGACGCAUACUGUUAAUAAGUUUGGGAGUACCUCUAAAAAUGCCACUGUGACGGUAAAGGUUGGUUGUAAUUCCACCAGGAUGAAGUGAGUUGGCAGUUAUGUCUGCAUCAUCUUCCUGCUAAGAAACAAAUCAUCAAACUGUUUUAUGGAAGACAUUGAUUGAUUUAGUUAUUGUGACAAUUUACAGAAGAACAUCUCACAUAAAUGACAAUGUUCAUUCAAUUAAGUUAACCAUAAUUGCUAUUGCUCUUGAAAAGUUCCCCUUUUCUCUGAAGCACUUGCACUGCCUGUAGAAAAGUUGAAUGGGUGUAAUUUUACAACUGAGAUUGUCAUGGUUGACAAAGAGCCCAUAAUUAUGGGACAAGAAGCAAGCCAUGGAUUCCAAAAUUGGAGAAGCAGAAACAUUGGCUGCAGUUAAGACAUCAUGUCACUGUGGUCAAAUAUUUGACCAUAUAAGAUUUUUUUUAUACUGACCCUUUCUUGUUCACUCUUGCCACAUACUUCAUCUUGUAGUUGGUGGCAGGAAGCUCAUGACCAAUUGAAUCCAAGCUUGGGCAUUGAAUUAUAGUAUUACACGGCAUGAAUUAGUACCUACCUAAAAUCAAUAGAAUUGAAAACUAACAGAUGCUUUCUUUUGGAGACCUAGAAUCCAUCUCCACUUCUGGUUGUUAGAUAGAAGUAUUAUUCGUGCUACUAAGAUAACAAUGAACAGAGAAAUCUCGCACAGGAGACAUAUCAUGUUAUAGAGGCUGACCAUUUCCACCAAUGAGAAGGAGACGAGCUAUGAGUAAGAAAUGCAUCUUAUAAAGUUCGCAAGCCCUAUCAUGUUCAGUCCUUGAUUUGCCAGGGAAAGAAACACCAAAAUUUGCCAGGGGUGCACAAAAUUUUGAGGUGUCUAAAUUAAGAAAGACUAGAGUAAACAUCCUCAAGAUAAUGCUGGCAUAUUAUUAUAUAAGCUGGAUAAAAGACAAUAUCUACAGCAACCAAUGGGGGAAGAAAAAUCCCAGGGGUUUAAAUUCAGAAAAAUGCUAGAAGUCUCAACUUUCAAGGGAAUCAAAGUCAGAAUCUACAACCUUUAACCGUCUGGCAAGCUCAUUAGCAUGCAGCACAUUAGAAAGCUUGGAUUGACCAUAAGCAAGGUAUCUGUUGUACCUGCAGCGUAAAAGUGUGAGAACAUGUGAGAGGUUUUUCAAGAAUGAUGGUCAAAAGACCUCCCCGCACUACCUCCCUACACACCAUCCCUUAAUAAUUCAACACAAAUUUCAUUAACAAUUUUUUCUUUUUCUAAUCGAGGGAACUCUCUAAAAAUCUUACAGUUUCUACAUGAUAAUGUCACAGACAAGGCAUGGGGGCUAUCCUCUCAUUCUCCCCUAAUCCUGCCUCUCUUUCUUCGCAAACCUUCUAGAAAAUGAUGGCUAUGAUUUUUUCCUAUAUUACCUGUAAAACAGUUCUAACUUAAUACUUUGACAUGUUUGCUUUAUGUUUAUCCCCAUUUACACGAGAAAAUUGCAUGCCAUUUAUUUGUGUAUCAGUAUAUUGUAUACUAUGAGAUGUACUCAAUAACUACUGCUUAAGAAGUAUCUGCAAUUUUAUACUUCCUAAGUCUACUUGUUGGCAUGGUGAGCGGUUCGAGAUAUAGGUAUGAAUAGGUUUUACUUUUCACAGGUAGGUGGCUACUUGGACUCUCAGGAGUACCCAAAAAUUUAAAUCUCAACCACCACAUGACAAAACACACGGCAUUUUAUGAAACAAGGAGAGAGAAGAAACAGAUUCUCAGUAUGGUAGUACCUUCAAGCUAAGACAUGAGUUUGAAGCUUUGACAUUAAGAAGAAGAAGAAGAAAAAAAAAAAAGAAGGAAAGAACAAUGAUAAACUACGGUUUGAGAGUCUAGAACAGAAUAACAUAUAGAAAGAUUAACACAAUUAAGCACUGGCAACCACAAGCUUACCCUUCUUGAUCGUUGAUUUUAUCAAAACGCACACCUUCACGAUAGGUAUAGCGGUGAAAUUCUGAUGCAACAAUCACGAUCCUUCCCUCUCUCUUAGUUUGAUGACAUGUUUUCUUCAUUGUGUCCAACAACAAGUUAGUCAAAAGAAAAUGACCUGCAUAACAGAUACAAAACUAAAGAUGGUUAUGAAGAUAAAGUGUUGAUGUCAACAAGAACCAUGCUGAGUUCCAAUCCAUCCAAUUACUGCUAAAGAAUUUGAAGAAUAGGACCUACCUAAGUGAUUUGUGGCAAACUGCAAUUCAAUGUCGUCCUUGGAUAGCUCGAAUGUGGUCCCCAUGACUCCAGCAUUAUUACUUAACAUAAAGAAGACAGAGACCAAUCCCAGGAGUCAAAAACAAAAAAAAAGAAUAAACGAAUAAGCAAAUUAUAAGCAAAUAAAAUUUACAAAAUCACAAAAAAUACCAGGCACUUAAUAAAGAGACAAGAUGAGGGGAGACAAAGUUAGAAGAGUCUGAUUGCUGUAUAGGUAGCAUUUACUUACAUUAGGAUAUUCAAGGGACGGCCAGACGAAUUAAACUCCUUUGCAAAAUUUCUCACAGAUGCAAGUGAACUGAGAUCUAACUCCAAGACAUCAACUUUAGCUUCAGGGGUUUCCUUAACAAUUGCAUCUUUGACCUCUUGGCCAGCAGCCAUGUUUCUGACCCCCAUUAUAACACUGACACCACGCAGUGCAAGAACACGAGCUGUUUCAGCACCAAUACCACUUGAAGCCCCUGCAAUUUUGUUUGUUAUUAUACUACGUCAUUCCAUGCGUUCAAACCGAUCCUCUUAAUCAAUCAUAAAGGCCCACAGUCAUGAACAAGAAAACGAAAACGAAAGUACUGAUGUGCUAGACGAGUAUAAACAAAUUGAAGGGCAACAAAACAAGGAGAUUAUUUUUGAAGCAGCGUUCACUUCUACACAAAAGAGAAGAAGAAAAAAGAAUAGAGAAAUUUAGGGAGCUGAAAAUUUUUUUAAAAAAACAUAUGUGGACAGAAAGGUCGAAUUGAGAAGGAACGGAGAGACAAGAGCAAGUAGAGGACCUGUGACGAUGGCGGUGAGACCAGAGCCAUCAAUCCCCUGCGUGACUUCCUCAGCAGUGGAAGAGGAUGAGAACCCAGAUGGCCCUUUUCUUUUGAAAAGCCACAUCUUUGUUCAACUGUAGUAAUUAGCGAAGCUGCAGAAAUUCCAAGAAGAACAAGCAGAGGAGGUGGAGGUGGAGGUAAAGGCCUUAUGGUUCUACGAGAAGGUUCCUAAUCCUUGAUGAAAUACCGUCGUCAUUGAAGCGGUGAUGAAUUGAUGGUUGACUCGAAAAUAAACGGUUGUGAAAUUACUACUUUUUUUUAUAUUUAUUUCUUCUUUCGUGAAUGGCAAGAUAAUGUAGGAAUAUACAUUUUUUUUAAAGAAAAAUUUCAGAAACCUCCCUUGAGAUUUUUCCUAAUUGCAAUUAGCCCCUCCCAAAUUUCUGAAAUCACACUUAGUGUCCUUCGACUGACAACCUUUGUGUGACAUCAUGGUCCCUUUAUGCAAAGAUAAUAUUAAAAAAUAUGCUUAGGAAAGAGAGACAUAUUCUUUCAGUUUUGUCCUUUUGCAAGUUUAUUUUUGAAUUUUAGGAGAGAAUUCUCUUAUACCGUCCGAAUUUGGAUAAGAAUUUUUAUUUGAAAAAUUAAAUUCAAAUCGAAUUUGGAUAAAAUCGGAUCCACUAACGUACCAAUUUUCCGGUGAACUUUGACGGAACUAGCAAUUGCAUUAUCAGUUCUUUAAUAAAAAUGGAUACUUGUGUUUCUAACGCUCGACGUGGCCUGCGGUGGCCCUUCACCAAAGCUUUAGAACAUGAGGCUGUCGGAGGAACGACAAGGCACCGACCGACAGAGUGGUAGAUGUCAAUCGUCAAACUGCUGAAGUCCACAGAGUAAAAGCCAAUUGAACGCUAACUGGGGUCAACUUGACUUCCAUAGGAGGAACGACCCAGCUUGAGUCCCUGGAAUUCUGCCUGGGCCGAUCUCAGACCAAUUUAUGCGGUUCAUGUUAUAACAUGGGCCAACAGGGGCUUAGCCAAGUCCAAAUUAAUGACCAGUGCGUACAGGGCCGCCACUGGUGGGAAAUUUGGAAUUAGGACCUUGAAAAAGAAAGAAAAAAAAAAAAAAGGAGAAGAAGAAUGGCCUUAACCGCCUUCACGUGCGAGUCCGGUAUGGUUGCACGCGUCACAAGCACGACGCUUAGACUGUAAAAUCAAAACCAGUGGACUUGGGGGGAACUGACUGGGGCUUACCCGUUUUCCAGUCACACCUAACCCCUUACCGCUUCUACUCUUCUUCUUAUCCUCUUUUAUCUCCUUUUAAUCGACCGAUUACCGAGAUUCAAUUACAUCCCAGGCACGUAAAUUUUUCUUUGAAUUCUUACGUAAUAUUGCAUUUGUUCUCUGAAAAUUCGUUUGCUAUGUGCGAGAAUUGAUACUAGUACCACGUUUAUACGUAAUUUCCCCCACAACACGCAUUCAAUCUUGAAGCUUCAAUAUUUGUUUCAGCUGAAAAUAUUGGUAUUAUGCCGUUUCUUGAUCGACUUCGAACCUGAAUUCGCCAUAAAAAUUGUUAUGAAUUCUAUCUAGUCUGCUAAUUGGAAUCUUUUCUGUUGUUGUGGCUCGGCUGGGCUCACUCUUUCGCCUGAAUUAAAUUAUACAAUGAAAGUCAAUUAGGUUGCUGUGGCACUUGAGAGUUACUGUAUAACGUGCCUUUUAGUGUUUGUAUUUUUGUUAGUGUUUUUCUUUUUCGGGUUAUUAAUCCUUAAUUUCUUCAUGUGCUCAAUUAUCUACAAUGUUAGACAAGGUGCGGAUAAAAUGCUUGAAACUCAGUCUACAAAAUACUGAAACUGACAACAGGAAGAAUGAUAGAUUCUGGUUGUAAAGCGUGUAAUAGCCUGCCUCUGCAGAACACGAGUAGUGGCAUGCUAAUUCUGAUAAUUGCUCGAAAAGAAACUAGUUCAAGCGGGGAAGAGAGCUAUGAGAUCAUUUUAUCAACACACAACACCAUCCUCUAUGGAUAAGUUGAAGUGUAAUAACCGGGUAAAGGAGGCAUCUUCAAUUUGGCUUGUCAAUUUUAUUUGAAACAUCAAACAGCUGCAGAUCUAUUGUACUGUUGCUUUAAUGAACAUUUUUCAAUUGAUGAUUCAUACAGAAUUUAAGGAAAUUCUUUAUACAGAAUUUAAGGAAAUUCUUAAAUGCUAAAUCUGCAUGUCCUGAGUAGUACCAUUCUUGCAACUAUGGCAGCACUUGGGAAAAGUUGGAUGGGUACUUUAAGAAGUAAGAAUCAAUACUAGUCGGUACCUGUCCAGUUGGGCACUUAAGAUGGACAACUUGAGAAAUGAUAAGGGAAGAGCUUUUAGCAUAUGAUUUAGUUACUCUUAAUGAAAUCAUGUCUGGUCAAGGAUUCAUUCUGUUACUUUGUUGUGAUACACACUAGUAAAUUUAAAGACAGUUUAUUUUACCCUAUCUCGAGAGUACAGUUUGUAUACCCAGAGUCGGUUAUAGUAGAAUUCUGGAUGUAUCUACUUCUUCCAUCGCUUGCCUCUGCAGCUAGAAUUCAUCUGCUGUUUUAAUGUUUUCCAAGUGGAUGAAAGAUGAAACAAGAUAGAGAAAGUAAGAAACAAAAAUUUUAUUUCUAUGUCCAACCAAAAGUGAAAAACCUUUCUAAAUGCUCUGCUAGUUUCUUUGUUCUUUUCUAUUUUUCCUUCCAAAAUCCUCUCGCCUCUCCAAGCCUAUGUGUUUCUUUUCUCAUGCAUAAAUACAUGUUUGCCUUUGACUUUCUUAGUUUCGUUUCUACUACAAGGGGUGUGCUUGUCUUUACCAUAUAAUCAACUGUUGUUGAUCCUUAAUCUCUUUACUCCUGAACAGGUUUCUGGAUCUGAUGGAUAUUUCUUCUUGAAAAAUUGCAAACCUUGGGGUUUUUUGAGAUCUGCCAUUGCUGAUUUAGUAUUCACUGCCUUUGCAACAUUUAUGUGUUGAAGCAAGCGAGACUGCGAAUAUCUUCUUUGCUUGCUAGACUUUCAUUGUACGAGUACAUAAAUUUUGUUUUGGAGUCCACAAUAAAUUUGUGCUUAUUGGACCACCUUAUGCCAGAAGGUCCAAUGGCAGUUGUCAAACCAGAGGUGGGUUAAAUGGAUUGUUUGUGAUUUUUCCUAUCUACUAAAAGAAAUUGGAAUAAGAUCAAGCAGAUGUAGAUGACACUGUUUUAGGUCUGAAUUUACUUUUCUUCUUAGAAAUUGGACCCCCUUUACCUUUUUUUUUCUAGAGUAGUAUGGAUGUCACUCACAUGUUUCUGGAUUUUGUUGGUGGAAUGAAUUGAUGCUGAUGUAAAUGUUUCUAAUGUGUUCUAUACCUUUGUCUACUCCAUGUUCGCCCUAGAAUUCAUUUGCUAGCUGCUGCUUAUUUUCCUGCAUGAAUAGUUGAACGUAUUCCUUGACUUUUUUCCCAAAAAAAAUUAAUGGUAAGUUUAUUUAGUUGUUGCUUGGAACUGAGAAUCCUGUAUUGAUUGUUUUUGAGUCCUGUUUGCCCAAGUUGAUGGUUUAUGCUCCUAUCCUAUAAUUUGGUAUGGCAUUUUUAAGAUGAGAGAUUUCUUGCUGUUGGUUACAUAGGUUGUUUCUAUGAGCAUUUUCUUGUUUUUGAUUUUAUUUGUUGGCUUCAUUUUCUCAUGCUGUUGUUGGUUCUCUUUGGAUAUAUUGAGCAUGUACCAUUGGCCUUACUCAUGUUGCUAAUCUUUCCAUAAUGAAGAUGAAGUCAUACAUCUGGCUCCAAACUACUGAUGGUUCAAUUCAACAAGUGGAAGAAGACGUUGCUAUGUUUUGUCCUAUGAUAUGCCGAGAAGUUCUUCAAACAGGCAUGGGAUCAUCUAAAAAUUAUGCUAUCUCGCUUCCUCAACGUGUAAAUCCUGCUAUAUUGGGAUUAAUACUUGACUACUGUCGGUUUCAUCAAGUACCAGGCCGCUCUAAUAAGGUUUACCCUGUUUUAUGCUGCUUGCCCUCCUUCAAGAAUUGUGGUUGUACAGAUAUCUUUCUCUUAGUUUCAUUCUUAUAUAUCUUAACUCAUAUAUUGCGCGCCUGUUUUGCGGUGUUUUACUGUUUCUAUUUUGAUGUUCUGAUGGCAUUUGACUUUGUCUGUUGAUUCUAUGCAGGAAAGGAAAACUUUUGAUGAAAAGUUUAUCAAGUUAGAUGCAAAAAAAUUGUGCGAGUUGACAUCUGCUGCUGAUAGUCUCCAACUGAGGCCUCUGGUAGACCUUACAAGCCGUGCGCUUGCUCGGAUGAUUGAAGGAAAAACUCCGGAAGAGAUACGUGAAACUUUCAAUUUACCUGAUGAUCUAACAGAGGUAUCUGCUGCUGGGAUAAAUAGGUAUAGCCCAAUGUGUUUUACUCAUAUUUAGGUACUUUCUGUUGCAGGAGGAGAAGUUGGAGCCUUUAAGAAAUUUGACGGAUGAUCCACGCAUUAGGCUUCUGAAUCGGUUAUAUGCAAGAAAGAGGAAAGAAUUAAAGGAGAGAGCAAAAGUAAAGGUACUUUGAUGUUCUCCCUCCCCCCUCCCUCCCUCCUCCAAAAAAAAAAAAGGCCUGGGUACUUCAGUUAACUUGCUUUUGAAGUACCUGUAGGUUAAAAUAAUUAAUCAACUUACACUGUAAAAUGCAAGUGCAGGAUAUGUGUUGGUAAUCAACUCCUCGUUUCUGAAUCCUUAGUUUUGCACUAAGAAUUGCACUAAUGUUUCAGAAUGUUGAGGUUGAAGAAGAGCAGCUUGUGGAUGAACGCCCAGUUGAUGAACUUUUGUCAUUCAUAAAUGGAGACGGAGGUCUGCUUGAAAAGUUCUACAUCUUAUUUUUGGUGAAAACUUGCUUUAUCUUGUUGAAAAUCAAGAAAUGUACUUUGUAGUAGCUUGAUUCCCCAGGCCCCUGGCGAGCUUAUGUAACUGCAUUUAGUCAGCUUUAGUAGCUUUAUCUGCGAUUUAUGGAUAGCUGAUGCAGCCUUUGCUGCCAUAUUAUGUUUUAAGUUUGUUUUGUCUUGUGCAAUAGAUGAUAUGUACAUGAUAUUUCCUCUUUGCAAGUUAAGAAUCUACUAAAAGUUCACUCCUUUCAUGAAUAACCCUGACCUAGAAUUUGAAAACUUCAAGUUCUAUCUGAUCUGACAAUUUUGCAUGAGUCAUGUUUGAGUAAAUUUUUUUAGGCCAUGUUUGAGUAUAUUUGCUUCUUCACUACAGUUAUUGUUCCAUGAUGAAGCUCAGGAUAUCCUCUCUUGCAGAAUCUAAAGGAGUAAAAGCUGCUAAGAACAAAAAGAAAAACAGGAGGAGAAAAGACCUUUCUGGAAACUUCUCAUCAAAUGAUUCAAAUUGUAACCAGUUUAAGGUUGUAAUGACACGCUUCUUCCCAGCUACUUGCCCCCAGCCUCUGAGCACUGUAUAUUUACUGUGCAUUUUGUCCUUCUCUCUUUAGGGAGAGAAGAAAAGUUGCACUGCUUUUGGGUUUCACUGGUAUAUGUUGAUAUUUUAGGAGCCAAAUCAUCUGCCUUCUGGCUACUUGAUUGGUGAUAUUGACAGUGCAACCUCCCAAAGUAAAAGUGCAGUAUUUCAAGAUUCUGCAUCUGUUACAUUUUCACCAAAGCUUGAGUUUGAUAAUGAGUUGGAUCCUGCAAUGGAGGAAGAACUGGACAGGUAAAAUAGCUUUUUAUUGUAUCCAUAUGUUAUACCUGAUACGUGUGUGUGUGUAUAUACAUAUCAUAUUUGUUAAAAGCCAAAUCAAUUUAGAAUUGAUUUGUUGUUGCAGAAUUGUACCUUGACCUAUAUUUCUGUUUUAGUUUGAUGUGUAUUUCGGGCAUUGAUAUGUUGGUCUUGCAUUCAUUUAAAUGGUGUGGUAAGUUUCAUAUUCUGUGAUUGCAACAUACUAGUAUUGCUGCAAGCGCUACGUUUAAUUUCUUGAUACGUAGCAUCUUGGAUAUGAAGUUUUAUUUUAAAAGAUGGUUCUUAGUUAUUAUUGCUGAAUUGCAGGGAGGUUGAGGAUUUUGCCCGGAGAUUGAACUCUGUUUGGCCAGAAAGGAUGCAGGAGAUGUUGUCCUUGGGUCAAGAAAGGAGACCUGUACCAGUAUCGCUUAAUGGAAAUGGUGCAGUAAAGUGAUGUAAAGGUCAGCUAUUUUGUUCUAUUUACUUUUUCAGAACCAAUACAUAGAGGAGAAAAAUAAGUUGUGCUUUCACUUGCUGACAAGAGGAGAAUAAGUUACUGUUAGAGGCAUUGAUUGACUCUAUUUACCAAUAGCAAUUUAAAUGCUAAUAUAUCGAUGGUUUGGUUUUUUUAACCAAUUUAUUUGAGAAGCACAGUUAUGGUCCUUAAUAAGAAGAGAGCAAUUAGCUUGAUUUACACACAGCCUCAUGAAUUGAAGGGUAGAACCUAGUGUGAGGGUUUCAGAUACCUUAGAAAUUUACAACUUUGUCCCCAGGAUGUUAGAUGAAGGUUGUGAUUCCACUAUCGGCCCCUUCGCACUUCUAACUGACCAUGCUGCCAAUUUAUGUCAUAUAAAUUUCAUGUCUUCGGCAAAUGUUAAGCUGAGGAGUGAACAUUUCAAUAUCUUUGGCUACCAAAGACUGCGACUAAAUUAAGAAUGUAGUUUAAUUCGUGUUAGAUCUGUGUUCAUCUAAAAACUUACUUUUGUCCGAUGUAGACAGGAGAUGACAGCAAUUCGAGCUGAAAACUCACUUUUCCAGUGAGAGACCAAGCCAGUUGUGCAUAAGAAUGGGCGUUGUCACCACGUCAAAAACCGAUGGAUUUUGCACAGGUGACCAUGUUGAGAAUCUUUGUUGAGCCCUUUGAUCCGAAGCAUGAGUUGCAAUCUAAGUAAGUUUAUGAUGCAUGUUCGGAAAGUGUCGUUCUUCCAUUGUUUUCCCUCUGAUUUUUGUGUCCAGAAUCGUGUCAUCUGAAAAGGGGAGGGAGUGAAUUAUCUCGUUUUGUAACCUCUUGGGCAAUUUGAAGCUUUUGUCAAUCGUCACAUUUCUUUUAAGUGGUGGAAAGCCCUUGCAAAUUCUGCACCUUCGUCGAACUAAUAAUGCUAAAGGGAGGCCAGCAAAAUGUAUCCGACCCACCCCACCCCCCGAAACCUAAAGCCGAACAACUCCCCGUCAAGCAUCAUGCUGAGUUUUGUAGAGUUAUAUGCCUGCGAAUUCUUUCAAGCUUUGUCGAUUGAUUGGCUUGGUAAAAUAAACGUGGCAAGCCCAUUUGAGAAGAUAUUUCGAGACCCUCAACCCCAAAUGCAAAGGUUUUGUAAGAAAAAUUUGUAAAAUAUAAUAGUUUCUUGACACAUUUCUUAAUUACGCUUUUGCAUACAUUAUAUGUCGGACGGGCUCUAAGCGGAUAACUUAGCGACAUUCUUCGGCCCUGAUUGCGCAUAAGGGCUGAAGCUGAGGUCACAUCCUCUCUCUUGGAUGGGCUUCGGGGUUCCACAAUGGCUGGUUGCUUAGUAGAAAUGGGAAUCACUCAAAAGACCAGACAAGGGCCACCAACUUAGGAUUUACUGCAAAUAGUAGGCUUGGAGUCGCUUGAGCGGAAAAAGAGCAAAUUACCAUGAUAGUCAUUAAACUUUUCGAAUAGCGAGAGUUUUAACCAUUCAACUAUUAAUAGUAUACUUUUACCCAUUAAACUAUCAAAAGUGUAAAUUUUGAACCAUUUUGUCUAAUUUUUUCGUUAAUUCUACCAGAUCUAACUAUUAAUAGUAUAUCUUGUAAAUCUUACGUCUUUAGAUCACACAAAGUUAACGGUGAAAUCAGACGGAAUGGUCUAAAAUUUACACUUUUGAUAGUUUAAUGAAUAAAAACAUACUACUAAUAAUUGAGUGGUCAAAUCUUGACUAUUAAAAAAGUUUAGUGAUUAUCUGGAUAAUUUGCUCGCGAAAAAAAGAGAAUUGCAAUAGUAAACUUCUACAUACACUAAACCAAGGUUCUGUUUUCUUAUGAGGUACUUGGCUUUUUCAAAUGGCAUAUGUUAUGCUGCUAUGGACACAGUAAUAAGCAGCCAACAUCAUGUGUACGGCAAUUAAGUGAAGCAACCAAAAUCAUGAACGAAAAGGUAUGAUUCUUAAAAUGCUUGUGGUUGCGUCUUUUUUUUUCCUUAUUUUCAAGCUGUCCUGGGAGUGAAGAGAGGUAUAAUCAACUAAUAUCAGUAAUGAGAGUUUACAUCUGUCCAAACUGAUUACUAUUAUGGCACAAAAGGCCCGAAGGAAGAAAAAACACAAAGGUACAAAACUAAUAGUAUUAUAGUGCAUACUUUAGAAUACGUACAAAUUCAAUACUAACGUAAGUGGUCGCAAGUACACAAACUGCGAUGCGACCCCCGCCCAAACAAUGAGAUGAGAAUCUGGAUUCCCAUCUAUUUCCGGGUAGGAAUUUGAUUCUUGUCAUAAGCCCUUUUUCAUUCUAUACCAUGUCGUGCAAGUGUUAUUCAGUGUUCAUCCCUGUGCCCAGAUGAAUAGUAUACCUUGAAGACCCUUGGAAGGAAAACAGGCAACAAGAACCCAAACAAAUUGAAGCACCAAAAGGCCAUAUUAACGACAGCAAGGCCUCUUCCAAUGUACAAUCUUCUAGGAUUUUCAUCAGUCUUGUAAAAUUCACUGCUCAGCCAGUCCGCAACGGUAAAGAUCCUUCUUGAAUUGUAGAAAACAGGCACAAAAGCAAAAACUGGCAUGGAAAACCCACCGUAAAAAGCCACUCCUUCCAUGAAUAUCUGACUAGCAAGAAGAAAGACGUGUGACGCAGCUACCCUGACACCCUCUUUGUAUCCCCGGAACAUACCCUCGACUAUGUAUGCCGAUGGGAAAGCUAAACUGAUUAUUCCAGAGAAAAGCACGUAGAGAUCUUGAAGCCUGUUCUUUUCACCAAAGACUCGGGGAUUGGGCCGAGGGGAAAGAGGGGGAAAGGCAACUUUUGAUAAGAAGUGAAUAUAUGCUAAAGAAAAGACCACAAAAGCCAAAUCUUCAACACUAACCAUGCCCAUAACAGAGAGAGCAAUCAUCCCUGCAAGUGCAUUUAGCUGCCGAAACGUGAGGAAAAACCUUCGGGAUUGCGGCCUUUUCUUGCCAUUUGAUAUAUGGAGAGAAUUUUCUUCUUCAACCCCACCCGGCAUAUUUGUCUUUCUCCGUUCUGCAAAUUAUUAUUUUUUAUUCAGUUAAAUGAAAAUUUACGGGGAUUUCCAGGCAAAAGGGUUGUGAGUAAAAGAAAGAUCUUGAAAAGGUUAUUCAGACAAUGGAAACCAAAGUCCCCAAGGAAAUUGAGGUAAGAGGAGAUAUUGAAAACGACAGACGUGCAAGUUUGUGGUGGUGAAACCGUGCAGAUGGUACUAAAUCCAGCGUCCCAUGCUAGUUGCUUGCAGCCAAUGGGCAGCAACGCUUGCUGAUUUUUCUGGCGUUGUCUAAACAAAUAAUUUCUAAUUAUGCUAACAAUUUGUUUAUAGAAAGUUUUUUCUUGCAUUUACCUUUAGAAGAGUUGCGUUGAGUGAGUGAAAUAUGUGAUGAAAAAAAAAUCAGAUAAGGAAGCAGCCAAUUGAAACUGAGAGAAAAACAGGUAGCUCUUUUUUUUUUUUUUGAAGGAAAAUACAGGUAGCUUAAGUGCGAUUUAUUGGGCAAAACCAAGGUACGCACAGUCCUAGAACGAGUCGAGACUCAAACCAGAAAAAUGUUAUCAAGAGACGGAAUGGCUGUCACCAGCGAGCUACACGCUGUUAAAGAAAAUCCUGACUACAUGAUGUUGAUGUACCACAGGGCUUACACCUUCCGUUAAUGCAGACCACAUUAUUGCAGUUUGUUUGACAAUGGAAUUUAUUUCUCAUUAGGAUGCCUCCUCAGCGCUACAGUUUCUAUAGCUAACUAGUGGUCUUCUUAUUGCAUUCAAUCCGCUUUUUGGUAAUCAGCUUCUUGUUAUCAGGAAAUUACACAAACUACCACACCAAAAGAUACCGCUCUCUCUCUCAAAUUUCUACUUUACUGUUUGAGCAUCAGAUGUAAUCUGUUCAAAGGAUAUCAUGGAAGACAUAUAAUUUUCUCUUCAACCAAAGCAAAGAAAAUCAUAGGGGAAUGGUCAAAUUCAUCCUUAAACUUUUUUCUAGUGCUGAUUUAGUUCCUAAUUUUUAGUUUUGCCCAAUUUGAUACGUGAACUCAUAUUGCGGCUCUAAUUAAGGACCUCCGUGAUGGCACCACCACAAAACAUCAAUUUAGUUCCUAAUAGACCGAACAAAUAAGGGUAUUUUGGCAUUUUUGGGUUAUCAUCUUCCUCCACCAAAUUCCAUUGCUUGCCACCCACCUCUCCCUUGAGACAUGAGAAGCGAAGUGCAGUAGUAGUAAAAUUUUCUUUUGAAGGACAAUUGCCCAAGGAAAUGAUACAUCUCAAUGACAUUCAGGAAAUCUAACAAUGAGAAAGAUAGCUAGAAGUGUACUAUGGACAACAAAUCCCAAUGCAUUGAAAUUGAGAAAGAGUUUAACGAACUAAGGAGAAAAGCCAAGGACUUAUAAUAUUGAACUUGGGUCUUUCAAAAUGUUCUUAUGCAGUCACCAUUUUAAUUAGUUGAAUUGCAAGAUCUAGUUUUGGAAUAGAAAUCCUAUCCUACGAAGUGAGUACAAAUGGAAAGCUUUUCUCUCUUCCUUUAAUCAGGGAACUUUGAUUUUUUAUCUUUUAGACUUUUCUUUGAUGGAAUGAGAUCAAGAGAUGUAGCAUUAGUAAGGGAAUAGGAGGAGAGUAGUAGACAAAGAGAAAAGAUAAUAGAAAGAGGUGGUGGCGGUGGCGAUGAUAGAGAGAAGAGUGGUGACGAUGGCAGGGACGGGGGAGAGAUAAGAUAGAGGAAGAGGAAAGAAAUUAAAAUUAAAAUUUUAAAAAUAUCUCAAAAAGUUUUAAAUAUUAAAAUAUCCCAAAAAUUAAUGAUUUUUUUCUGAUUUACUUGGUUUUAUUAACAUCCAUACUUGAAGUUCUCAAAAUACCCCUAUUUAGCUAUUCAAUAAAAGAUUCGAGUGCUUUUACGUGGUAGCGCCGCCGCAGAAGUCCUUAAUUAGAACCGCAACAUAUAUUCACAUAUCAAAUUGGCCAAAAACAAAAAUUAUGGACUAAAUCAGCACUAGUAAAAAGUUUAGGCACAAAUUUGGCUGUUUUCCCAAAUCAUAGUUAGACACAGCCCAGGAACUAAUUUUCUUGAGGUUGAAUAAGUUAAACACCAUGAAAAAAGAAACCAUUUAAGUGUGGUGAAAACGACUUCAAUGCCAGAGACAAACCUUGAAAGCCUUUUGGAAGGCGAGUUUAUGGGCCAAUAAAUAAAGGAUUUUUUUCAUCUUCACAAUCCAUUGCAUUGGAUUAGGGCAGUGCAAGAGAAAUCGAAUGCCCCAAAGAUGCCAUGAGGUGCUCGGAAAUGGUCAAAAUAGCGGAAUAAGAGGAUCGCAUUAUAGCUCCGGUAAAUUUACCAAAAGUGAAAAUAAUGUAGUUUAAUGUUUGAUAUUAUGGAUGACUGGCUACGUACAUACCACUUCGUUUUUGUAGGCUGCUCUUCCCUCGUGCCUAUUUCGCUUUAGGGGUUGGUUCCUAACAAGUACAAGACCCAAAAGGCCACAUAUAUAUAAAGCACCGGAGCCAGUCAACUGUAAAUCCCUCUGGAACUGCCUCCAUGUUCCAGGUUCACCUUGCAAAUCCCAAUCUUGAACAGCUCCACAGUAGUAAAGAUUGUCCUCGGAUUGCAGAAACUAGAGUGGCAACAGAUAUAAAAAAACAGACAAGAAAAACCCACCAUGAAAAUUGAAAAGCCACUCCUUCCAUGAUAGUCUGAUCCAGCAAUCAGAAAAACAAGUGGUACAGCUGUAUUUAUGCCCUCUUUAAUCUCCUAGGUAAGUGGCUUAAAAGUUGUAAGCCACUGGAGGAGGAACUAAACUGAUCAUCGCAGAAAAUAGGGCUCGCAAUGAUGAAUCCGGUUUUCUCCACCUUAGACUCGGUUAUUAGGCUAUUAACUCGAGAAGAAAGAGUUGGGAAGGCUACUGUUGAUGCGAAGUAGACGCAACUAGACAAAACGCUAGGAGAGCAUAGAGUCCACACUAAUACAAUACAGUGAGCAAGUUCUUUCGGGUUUGACACAGGUUCUCUAUUUUCUUCUGCAACUCAUCAACCGCUCUGUGCUUGUCUACAUCCUAUUACAGUCGCACUCUUUUCUUGCAAGAUGCUUUAGAGGCAACUACAUUUCCUUAUUUUCUUCAACCACGCAAAAAAACAAAAAGGGGCAUAUUAAUGUGAGGACUACGGAGAAAGAUAGACAUGGUCCAGGUAGCUUGAGGCUAAAUUUGAGAGAACAGACGUAUAGACUACAAGGGAAAUUUGCGUGUGAUGCCGAUGCCACAUCCACCAUUAAAGUCAAGUGCACGCAGCAAAGACCCCGUUGGAGACUCUAAAUUGUAUUCAUGUCACCAAUCAAACAGUAGUAUCGAAUACCAAUAUAGUAUAUAACAAUUCACAGAAUUUGCUCUUCACUGAAAACAAAGGAAAUGAAUUUCUGGAAGAGCUGAGUCCAACCGAAACAGCGAGUACUUAUUUGCCCAACCGUCUAAACCCAAAAGGAACGUGCAACAGGAUAAAAAGAAAAACUAACACUGGUUCCACUAAUGACGUUAGAAACUAAAAGCAUUUAAAAUAACAGACAGAAAUCCAUAUUCCCCUCUUACUCGGUCAGAUUAGUCCUUAGCCUUGCGGACAGAAGAAGAAUAAUAUAUCUUGAAGGCCUUGGGAAGGUAAACAGGCAACAAGAAUCCAAACAAAUUGAAGCACCAAAAGGCCAUAUUAGCCACAGCAAGAGCUCUCCCAAUAUACACCCUUCUAGCACUGCCACCAUAUUCCAUUUCCACCUUAUAAAUCUCACUCCUCAACCACUCCACAAUAGUGAAGAUCCUCCUCGCAUUAUAGAAAACGGGGACAAAAACUCGAAUAGGGAGCGAAAACCCACCGCUGAAAGACACCCCUUCCAUGAAAACCUGAGCGGAAAGGAGAAAAACAUGGGGUGCGGCAGCCUUGAUCCCCUCCUUGUCUCCCUCGAAAAUCCCAUGGAAAAUAUAUGCUAUUGGGAAAAGCAAUCCGACUAAUGCUCCGAUAAAAACGUAAAGGCUUAGGAUCCUGUUUCUUUGGCCGAAGACAGGGGGAUCCGCGUAGGGGGAAUGAUUUGGAAAGGCAACCGUUGAUAUGAAGUAUAUGUAGACUAGAGAAAAGAUUACAAAAGCGAAAUCUGCGAUACUGACCAUUCCACUAGCUGAGAGAACGAUAAUCACAGCCAGCGCAUUUAGCUGCCGAAAAGUGAAGAACCCUCUUCGGGAGGGCUGAGGAGGCUUUUGACUUUGAGUGCCCCCUUCCUUGGGAAAACUAGCCUUCCGUUGAUGAAUUUCUUCUUCUUCUUCUUCUUUCGGCAGCCUUAUGUCACUGCUUGGACCAACCCCACCUGACAUUUUUCUUUGCACUUUCUGUACUCGUCUGAUAUUGGGAAAAUAUCACCCAGUAAUUUCACUAUUUUUGGACGAGAAAUUGAAGGCUUCUGCGGCUGCUUUUCUGUGUUUCUGGAACUAGAGAAAGAGGAAGAGUUAAAUGGUUUCAGAGAUUGUGAAAAGGGGUCGGUCGCGGAAGAUUUGUUUCUGUGAUAAGGAGUACGUUACAAAUGGCAGUCAGGCAGAGUUCUAUGGGGGUACAGUGUCCCAGUUACGUGGCAUCUAACUGCAGUCUGGGGAACGCUCGAUCAGUUAUUGGCUUGUGGUUCUAGUUUUGUUUGAGGAGUCAACUGCAUCUGAUUCGCAGGCCCCCUUUUUUUUUUUUUUCCAAUGCGGCUGCCCCCCCCUCCGCCGGCCCUCCUUCCUUCACUCCCUAUUCAAUUUGGCGGAUUAUUUUGCCUCCCCUUCUCUUUUUGACUUUUCGGUUCAGCAGAUCAAUCGGCGCAGGACCCCUCUUUUUCCAUGUUGUUUGAUCCCGUCUGACAGGCUGGCUGGACGUAUAUUGUCGACGUUAAUCCUGGAAAAUAAUAUAUAAUUCCAAAAAAUAAAAAAAAAAAGUGUCGAUGUUAGUACUCUUUUGUGUAAUGAGUUUAAUACAAGAAUGUCGGAUAACGCGUCAUCAUUCGGGACACAAAUUUUACGCAAGGACGACGGAUGGCGCUAAUUUUACUCCAAAUUAUCUCCUCACAUAUUGCAGUCAGCUUGUUAUGCAGCUUACUACUACUACUACUACCGUAAGCUCGUCUUUACUCUAAUAAUAAUAAUUAGGGAAGUCAUCUACGUACUACAUUCAAUUCAAGAUCGAGAAAACUCUCGCCUAGACUAGUGACUGUUCCCCCCUUCACCACUGAACAGAUACCCUACGUACAACAAAGUUGACAGUGAGUGAACCACCAAACCAACGACAAAAUAAAACCAAAUACUAACUAACAACAAAUCCAUCAUACUCCUUAAAAAUUGGGCGGCGCGUCUGGAAUAUAUCAUAGUACUCUACUUUUUACAGUGUCUGGCAUAACACGAGAUGCGAUGUUUAGCCAAGACAUGAGGCUUACAAAAUUCUCCUGACACCAAAAAGAAACCCCAAUUUAUUACAGAACUACCAGGGAACAGCCGAGAAAACCUCUCUCUUAAUCAAAUUUGCUCCACCUACUCAAGAACAAAGGAUGGAACUCAAAAACUGUAUCCUCAAAAUUUGAACAUUUUCUUUGACAGAAGACCGCUGGUAAAACUGGAACCUCUGCUACCGAAUGCUAUGGCAAUUAGUUAGCUGCACAACGGGUAUGACAAAAGCAAAAAUCGCAUUACUCUCCUGUAUCCUAAGAAGCAACUUUCUGUUUGGGGAUGUACUUGAUCUUAACACCCUUUUCAGGAUUUGUUCUAUUCUUAGCUUUAGUAAUUCCGCCGGUAGACGAAAUACGACCCAGGUCAACUUGCCCGUUUUCAAAAUCAAGAGCCGAAAUGUCAAUUUGAUUUUCUGGAAGCCCGGGAAGAUCAGACUCCUCCGAAAGCACCAGUGUCAUCACAUGCUCCGCUGAGAUAGCUUCCUUCCACCCUACAUACACAUUACAAAUACACUUAUCUCACACAUCCGAAAAGCAAAAGCGAACACGAGGACGAGAUAAUAAUUGGAGGGAAAUUAUCAUUCACCAUAUGAAACUGAAAUUUGAGGAUAAGAACCAAAUUACAGGACCAACAUACUCUGUGCAAGAAAAGCUUUGGCAGCCGCAGUGGAGAGCUGCAAACCUUGAGGCAUUGCCAUCCCUUCGUACACACAGGUCAAACCCUCCCUGCUUUGGCUAUGAUCAUCAUCCGAAGAGGAUGACUGCAAACAACUACCAUCAGAGGCAGUUCGAUCCUCUAGCUUGUCAACCAUAACACCGUCUUGGGCAUCAUGGUUGGCUCUUUGAACUGGUGAUGGACCUCUUGAACCAUGAAGACUCUUAGGCAUCCGAAGUUCAGUGGCAGCUUCAUUUAAACCAAAUUGACGGCUGUCGGAGUUAGCUGGUUCCUCCAAAACAUUACUCUUAUGUUUACCUUCCUCAGUACUACAACUGUAAUGAGCUUCUCCUAAACUGAUUUUAUUUUUCCUUAAGAUACAGUUUGUAACUGGUAUAGAUAUAGAGCCAAUAAUCAGUUCACACUUGUUUUCAUCUGAUUGGUUUACUGCCUCCUCCAGUGUGGGUCUCAAGAUCUCCUCAUCAUUGUCCACUUUAAGUUUCUUGGUCCACACUUUACUGCUGCUCACCACAGUACCUCGAUCUUUGGCAGGGACAAGCUUUUGUACUGGUUCAAGUUUUGAAACUUGAUGAUUCUGAUUACCAUGAAAGUCACUUCUUCCAGCCCAAUGGGAUUUAGACACCUGCCGCCACCGGCGACCGUUUACAGAUACCAUUGUGGGUUCUACAUUUUGAACAAGACCUGAAUCCAAAUGGCCACUGCUUAAAUCAGAUUGAGCUUCAAUGUCAUUAUUUUGUUCAGUACUAGAGAGCUGAACUGGCUUAAGGAAGGUGGUGCCAUCAUCUACAGUGCAAGGAGCAUCAGGACUGGAAUCAGGUGGAGAAGAGCUGCACAUUUCUGCCAGAAAAGAUCCCUCUGAUGAAGUGGCAUCAAUCAAAGCCACUCCGUCCCCAUUUGAAUGUUCCCUUGCUUUCUGUUCCUUCUGCCUGAGCUUCUUUUGCUUUUUCCUUUCCAACAGCUCAGCUUGCCUGUCAUUUUUACAGGGUAAAAAUUAUCAGCAAAAAAUAAUGCCCAAAAUUACUAGACUUCAAAAGAAACAAAAGUGAAGUCAAAAUUCUCCAAGUUUAUAUAUGCAUCUUUCACCAACAACAUAUCCAGAUAAUUCAAAAAGGCUCUAGUAUCUGCAGAUAAAUAUCAUGAAUAUUUUUGCUCAAGCAUUUAUGAUAAAAUGACGUAUCAGACUACUAGUGCCAGAAAAGUACUGCACAAGUUGCAUUUGUUACAGGUAUCAGAUUAUGUCAUCAUUUGUUGCAUGAUAAAAUCAGUGGUUUCAAAAUGGUCCUCCUAAGCAUGAACCUAAGGUCCUAUCUGUUUUUCUUAUUUUCCCCAAAUUUCGCACUCAAAAGAGUGCACAAAAAAAUGAAAACAACCCGCGCACAAGUUUGGUUUACCAACACCAGAAUGAGAAAGGUCUGCAUGUUUCGAUGGCCAAAAAAAUGAUGAAUAGUAAAUGAUGAAUACAAGCAUUCAAAUAACCACAAUCACCUUUUCUGAGCAGCUUCCUCCUCCUCCACAAGCAAUUUCUGGCAUCUCAAGGCCUCAACAUCUUUGUCAGCAACCCAUGCUUUAACCUAUACAAGAAAGAAUAGAGAUACACAACGCAUAUUAGAUUGGAGAGCAAGACGGAUUCAUAACAUAGGUUUUAAACAAAAACCACACAUUAUCGCAUCUUCCCUCUGAAUUAAAGUGACUAGCACAUGACAGUUCGAGCACACUGAGUAAUGAUGUCCAAAAAGAUUGCGAUAUUUUAUCAUGAUUGCAAGUGCUAUUAAAUGAUGCCAUCCAAAUGUGAUAUGCACAGAACAAACAAUCUCCAAAAGCAUAAUUCAACAGUAGAUAUGGGAAACGAUGAUGAAAAAUCAACCAUUAAAUACAGAAAAAGUAAAUACUUUACCAGCUUCAGUUCAAAAAGAAAGCUAGUGCAAGCAACUAAGUUCUUCAACUCAAAGGCAAUUCUUCCAGGUUUCCCACCAAAAAUAUACUUUAGCACAGAUUCAGCUGUGCCAGCACGUAAGAAAGUCCUCUCACUAGCAUCAUCAAGAAUACUGAAUAAUUCCUGUGAGGAUAUAGGAAGCCUAGAGGAUUUAGCAUGAAUGACAUCCUGCAAGUUGUAUCAGACAAUCGAUGUGAUAGCUGUAAAGAUAAAAGACAGAAAUGGACACAUAACUGUCAAGUCAAGCAUAUAGGAACAAAAUGAAGGACAUCAAAAUUAAACUUUACCAGUAGGGUAGAUCCAGCCUCGACAUAAACCUGUGGAAGUGUCCAAACCCCUGGCUUGUGGAGAGAUGCAGCCAAUGAUUUGAUAACUGAAGUGCCAGUAACUUCCUAUAACAGAGUUAAUUACAAGAAGAUAUAGAAGUCUAGAUAAAAAUACAGAAGCAACAAGCAUAGGUGUACAGUAUUUAUUGAAGCAAUUACAAAUAUAUAAAACCAUCCUACCUUGUAUUCCAAGGAACAUUUUCAAUUCCUAAACCAUUAAAUAUUGAGUUUGUAAUCAGCCACCUCACCUCUCCCCCAUCAGUGCAAACAGAUUUGGAGAAAAAAGUAAAAGCGAGAAUACUGAACCAUUGCAAAGAGUAAAGUAGGUAUAUUUAAAAUAUCAAGAUUUUCCAGCACAGAUAUCCAAAUUUGAUAAAGUAAAAGACUUAAAUAUGAAGCUCGAAAAUGAAUAUAGUAUUGUUCCUAUUGAAUAAAGAUAAAUGGUGAUUUUGGACUGACAUAAGAAAAGCUAUGGAUCAAGCUCCCUCUCAGAGUAGCACCAUUUACUCCAGCUUGAGAACAGGGAUCUCAAGAUACAGGGGCCAAAACAUUCAUGUUUCUCUUUUUUAACCAAAACUUUCCAAGCAUAUCACUCCCCAUAUACAAAUCCAGAGGAGGCAAUUCUCAUGUUUUUUUUCUGAAUCACCAUCAUUGCCAGUGCUUCAAGUUUGAAGUUUCAAAACUCAAAAGCCAAGAACCUGGCAAUAAUGGAUCCAAACAUGGUACAUACUGAUCUCAUUAGACUUCAAGCAUGUUUUAUGACAAGCAACAAUAAAGCCAUAGUAUGUUUGCUGACCAUCUUUGGCUAAACACACAAAUUUCAGAAGCAAUCAGCAAAAAGAGAAACCAAUAAAAGUCAAAGCUAAGACAAUUAGGCAGAAAUGAACUUUUCAUUGGUAGUUUUAAAAGCCCAGGGUUGUAGAGAAUCAAUAAUAGAAUUGUGAAACCAAAAAACCUACUUUCCUUAAAAGAGGACACGCAAACAAGAAAUAAACCAAUUAAGAAAACAAGAUAGCUAUGCCGCCACCUUUAGAGUCACAUCCCUCAAUGAUACAACUUCCUUAGCAUCCUCCAGUGAGAGCUGCAAAUAAGACGAUAAAAUUAACCAACUGCAGCUACUGGAAUCCCUACAAAGAAACAAUUGCAGAUGAUCUGCAACAAAAUUGAUUACCUUGUCCCAGAAAGCUGCCAACAUAUCUCUAAUCUUAUGAGAUUCCUGAAAACAGCAUAAAGAACAGCAAGACUAUUGGCCCACAACCAUAGAAAAGAACGUUGUAAAAAAUAAAAAUAUUAAAUAAAAAAAAAGGAGAGAAACACCAUAAUAUACAAUAUGAUGUCGAGUAUCAUUCAAAGAGAAACCACCAGUAAACAGCAGUUAUGGCACCAAAAUCAGAAGCACAUAUAAAGAAGAAACCUUGUCAAAAUUUAAUGAUCUGCGGUGCACUCUGAUGUGCCUCCGAUAGUUAACCGGUGAACAAAAUUCCUGUGCGCACUUCUCACACUUCUCCAUCUGAACCUUCAGAGGCUUCAGCAAGGGCCAACCAGGAAGCUCUGCCAGAAUGUAGAAAAAACCAAUGGAUUGAGCUUCAAACACAUCACUAUAUAGACAUACUAAAUGUAGUAAGGCUUAUAGAAUCAGAUCCAUCUGUUGCAAAUUCCAAUUACAAAUGUCAGCAUCGUGGUUCAGGCUAAAUUUAAGUCUUAAAACGUAUAACCUGAAAAGGGUUAAGACAACAUUCAGGCCACUUGAUUAACUUCAUUUAGGAAGGUAUUUACUUCUUUUUCCUAAAAAUUCUUUUCAACAGAUUACUUUACAGUUCCUUAUACACCAGAUUUAACAUCCGACCAUACAGAUUUUCCAGUACCAUGAAGCAACUGAAACCAUGGGACCGGGAUAUCCCCCGUCCUUGAAAGAGAAAUAUGAGGCUCCUUCCCAACAGUUUGCCGACUCACAGUAUCAAGAGAAUCAUUCCCAUCUCCUGAUUUCAUGGAAUCAAGAGUGCCACCUGUGCUGAGUUUUGCAACUGGCAUCUAUUAUUCAGUGACCUCUGCCAUGUGAAACAGCAGAGUUUAUUCAGUUACAGACAUACAAAAAAGAAGUCAAAAAUUCAUAUGAGUACAAAGGACAAGUUCAAAAGUAUGAUGAUAUCGUUCAACAGCAGAACAAUAUACAACUUCAGCAAAUUCUAUAGCUCCACAUAUAUGAAGCUAAAGUCUGAACAACUGAACUCAGAAAACAGGUUGUGGCAAGUGCAUAAAACCUUUUGAAUUUUUCACUGAAAUUUGGCGACUAACAGAUAUUUAUAGCCAUAGCAACAAAUAACAAGAGAAGCUUGAUUACAAACAUUAAGACUCACAAAAAGAUCCUCUUUUUACCAUGUGUAUCACUCCACGCCAUUCAUCAUUAUGCACAUUGCAAAUAGCUUAUCUUAGCAGGAGAUAGAUGCUACUGAUGGUAUAGUUCUGAUGAUAAUACUACUACAACACGUAAAUUGUAACAGAUAAAAGCAGAAAAGGCAUUCAUUUCCCAAACAUAAACUCAACCAAUUCUAUAUCCCAAAGCAUAGCAGCAAUUUGAAAAGGCAGUGUAGCAUAUUACAAGCUCAACAGUUUAAAAGGCUUUCUGGAAUUGGACAGCCUAUAUCCUAUAGACUGUUUACAGCAAGCUGUCAUGACUUCUGAGCCUUUUUCCCAUUUGGACCAAUAAAACAACAAGGGCGGUUACACUAACACAACCAGAAAAUUGGAGAAAAGAUUAGCAACCAUAAAACAAAAAUUACAGCAGUGACCAACAGAUCCCAAUGGUAGCGACAGUGUAGAUGAGAGGGAAAAACAGGAAAAAGAAAAAAAAAAGGACCCAGGCCUCUAAGCCUUUUUUUUAUGCGGAAUUUACCACAACACAGCCAGCACAAUAAAAAAAAAUAUUAGCAGAAUUACAAAAUAAAAAAUUUAACCAAUCAAUGGAUACUGCCCUGACAGUAGGGCAUUGUACUAUAUAUGGAGAACAGCAUUUACCCCAAUAAAUGCAUGUAAAAUACAAUUUCCCAACCAACAUACAGGAGAUCCACCUUCUGAAAUUAUCAUAAACAGAUUCUCCCCCAAUACAAACACCACUCAACAACAAAAGCAAUCACAAAUACUUUGACAAGCCCUGCCCAAGAAAGCACUGUUCAACACCACAUUUUCUUUUUGAGCUCAACACCACAUUCUUAUGAACAUCAAACAAGGAACUCGAUAACAACACCAUUAUACAAAUAAGCGCUUACGUGAAAAUCCGUUCAAUAACCGGUAAUGCGAACCUGGAUCAAAUGUAUGGAAAGACAAAAACAAAAUCAAUUAGCAGAAGCAGAAAAUUAUGGCGGAAAUUUUACCAAAGGGGGAAAAACUAGGGUUAGGUCACAUGAUCUGCGAUGAGCACAUGCCAUACAGUGAAGGAAAAGAACAAGUCCGGAUAGUUAAACGUACCACUGAGGAGUCGGGGUUUAAAGAGAUCUCCGAUGAUCGAUAGAUUUGAAGUUCCCCGCUCCCGGAACACCUGCGGCCGACUAAAUUAAGAGAGAGAAACUUGUAAUCAGAAAAAGAGCAAUCGGCGAAACUUGGAGACGGAAUGGGACGGAGAUGGAGAGAGAAUUAAAGGGAGGAAUGGAAAUGAGAUGGAAUAUUUAUAAAGGCGGAGACGGAACCCUUAGCAGUAAGUAUGGAAACUAUACCUUUUUUUUUUCCUUGGUGAGAAUAUGGAACUUUUUCAAGAUUUUGUUAGUCUUACUGGCAGGAUCAUACCCCACUACCGGGGACGAAUGCUACGAAAGGACAGCUCCCUCCCGGUGCAAUCCGCUCUGGAAAGCCUUUGCCAAGAAAAAAUUUUGGGCGGUUCGUGCUAUAAGGUACGGCAAUUUGCGAGAAUAUUCCUCCCCAUAAUAAGAAGAAAAGAUAUUUCAGUUUUACUUUUUAUUUUAGAAGACAGAGGGUUUGUUUGGACAGUGAACUUAUCCCAAAUAAUAUUUUGCUUGCAUCAUAAACAUAUUUUUCAACCCACUUUUUUAUAUUUCUAACCAUCUUUUUAUCUCAUAUAUAUCACAUCACAAAAAAUGCUACAGUAAUUAUUCCAAAUAAAAUAUUUCAAAUAAUACUCUAUCCAAACAAGAAUUUCCAUCGACAUUCAAAGAAAUAAGCCAUCAACAAUACAGAAGAAAAAUAUACUUUAACAUUUUGAUGUAUCUUUGAUUGGUGCUGAUUACCCAUUAUCCCAAAAAAAAAAAUGUCAAUGAUCUUUAGAAAGGGGUAACAUUUGUCGUUUUACAAAGUACGGUCCAAGCUAUUUUACGUCGCCUUAUGUAAGUGAGUUUGAUAAUAAAAAAAAAUGACAAGGAAGGGUAGAGAGUUGAUCUUCUGUUAUUAAUUCUUAGCAAAAUUACCGCAUGUUCACUUUUCCCCCUCUUUUCUACUGUUGUUGUGUUUGGAUUGUCUUCUAUUUCACUUUAUUUACACCUUAUUUACGCACACUGAUUUGUUUGCAUCAUGAACACAUUUUUCAAUCACAUUUUUACCUCGCAUACAUCACAUCAAAAAAGUUAUCUCAAAUAAUUUGCAAUCCAAACACACUCGUUUACCGUUGGUUUGGUUAACGGUGCCUAUAUCUCAUGUGUUAGUUUUUUUUUUUUUUGAAAUAAGUGUAAUUAAUUUGUGAAAUUAUAUAAAUACAAUAAUGCAAUAAUUAUGAUUGUGUGUAUUUAUAUGAUAAAUUAAGUGUAAUUUUAGAAGAGUGAAUGGUUUGUGUGAUUUAGAAUGAAGGAGUAUAGGUGAGAAGUUUCGAUUCGACCCCUCCCACUAAUACUAAAAAAGAUGUAAUUUAAGUAUAUUAAUAAGUGUUCAUUGAGCAUUUAUUGAAAAAAAUCUUUUUAUUAUUUAUAUGAUAAUGUUAAAAAGUGUUUUUUGUUUCAAAUGAUUCUCAUUAAAGCGCAUUGCAAAAAGCGUGAUUUCUCCAAAAUGACACUUCACAAUAUUCACGUGGUCGCCAGUUUCUUUUGUGUCAUUCUCUUUUUAAAUAUAGAAAUACAAUGAAAAUGGCAUGAAAUAGUUACGAUUACGUGAAAAAUGAUGACCAACUUAAGUGAUAGUGUGCACCUCGUGCAAUAGGGCAAGAAAUAAAAACAUCCUAGGACUUUUGUUUUUCUUCCCAUUCCAAGGUCAUUAAACUAUUCAAAUGGUAUAAGUAAUACUUUUGAAAAAUCAAAAAUUUUUUAAAAUUUCAAAUUGAUUACUCAACUAGAAAUUAGAAGGUACUAACUACUAGGGGGGAAAUGGAUGGAUCAGGUGGUAUAAGGGAAGAAAUGUGACCGAGAGAGAUCUGAUUCAAAACAUUUUACUUAUAUAUAUAUAUAUAUAUAAAGUAGUACUAAAAUAAUAAAGGGAAAAAAAAGGGGGGGGGGGGGGCUGGUGACUUCAGCAUCUGCACGUCACGCUCCUGUAGGCACUACAAGAGUUGUGGUUUGGGCUCCGAGCAAAGCCAGAAUUGAAUAAUUCGGGUCCAUUCGGGCAAAUCCGUACGCUCUACAUUUCAUCGUCACCGUUUCGAAAGCGUGCGCUGAUGGAGAGUCAUAGAAAUAGAAUCGUACACUCUAGAGUGACGUGUAAACAGCAGUUGUACGUCAUGUGAAUCACAAUCUAGCGUCAUAAUGAUCAGCGACCAGGGACCACCCUCCCCAGCGCGCCGCCAUCUAUUAUGUUAGUACAACACGAUUGACUAAAAAAAAAAACAAGACAUUUACCAUUAUUGCACAAGCAAACCUCCCCUCUGGUAUUAAAGAUUACGACAUACACCUACCUAGUACCUCCCCGACCUGCUCGUCAGCAUCGACAAAAAUUCCGCAGAAUUUUGCCCCGACUUUCUUAAGGUAACCUCUUUCUUAUUAUUUGGAAACAAUUAAUUUCAACCAUUUUUUCUCCAAAAUGAUGCAAACCACCGCUCUUGUCUUGUUAGUUGUUACCCCCUCACUCCGGGGAAAAAAGAAAAACUGCCUGCCACGUGCCGGUAGCCAAAAUCCUUUAACAUCCCUCCUCCCCACGUCGCCAAAUCCACCAAAUGGAACUAGAACUGAGACAAGCAUUUUCCACGGGGGCAAGCGAGUCUAGAGAUUAUAGCCCAAGGGUGUAGGACUGUGAGUGAUACUGGUGUAAUUACAGUUAGCAACUUAACUCAGUUAUAGCUCGAAGGUCCAAUCAAGUAAUUAACACGACAAUAAUCGCUGGAAGCAAGACAAUUCAUUAAGACACAGAUGGUGCUGGGCCGGAUUAACUAUAAGAGCCAAACAGGGCUUGGGCAGAGUAGAUACAAUAAGCCUGAAAUUUUGUUGCAAUUCUAAGUUUUGAACAUUGUUCUGCAAUCCGAACACAUGCUUCUUUAUACCGUCCCUAGAGCAGAGAAGAAUCUCUAUCACCACCAUCGUCAUGGUCAAAAACUCAAAAGAUUUUGGAAAGCAUACUCCAGAGUUUUUAAUGCAGACGCAGGGGACCACCAUACCCUUCUAGCAAUUCCUAUUCAAGAGUUUGGUCUGAUCAUAACCCAGAGAGACUCGAAAAUUAGAAAGCAGGAAAACGUUUCAUACUUCAGCAGUCGAAUUACCUAAACCAACUGAGAACAACGCUUUGGCCUUCAAGUCAAAUAUAAAACAUGCAUCAGCAUAUUCUAAAUAUGCUAGAGAAGAUGUUUCCAGUGGUUUGAAAGACCUCAUUCCUGGAUCAGUUGAUCAUAUGACUCAAGGCACAUGUAGCUUGCACUGCUAUGUUUUCUCUUUACACUGUAUUACGCAUUUAUAAGGUAUAUGUACCAAUGCUUGUCAGGUCUAUGUACUCCUAAAAAGCAAGAAAAUGUUUCAGGACCUUUGUUGCCAUUCCUGAAUUGCAUAGUAAAGAGCGUAGUUAGGAAGCAGAUCGCAAUGAUCGAGCUGUAGGUUUGUCAUAGGUGAAGUCUUGUGACCGCUGUUCAGCCAUCCUUUUAUUGCAUCGCCUUCAUAUGUAAAACCAUCAGCUGCUAUGUGUGGAUCCUUCAUUACUUCCUACAAAUUCAAACCCAGAACAAGCAUAUCAGCGAAAAGCAAAAAGGCUCAAAAGCUGACAGCCUUUUCUGUACAUCAGACUUUGAAAACAAGAAAUGAUGCAAUUAUUCCGGCAAAUAUUGUGAUUUCCUAACUAGGCCUCCCCAAGGCACUCUAAUCACCAAUCACUUGCCGCAGCACCACCAACUGGAAACUUACUCAUGAAUUUAACAGAUAGGGCAAAAAAGCAUGGUGAUUUUGUUUCAUGGAAAUGGUAGUCAUGCAAGAUACAGAAUAAUACCAAUUACAGUCAGAUAAUCAGAGCAUGCCACCCUAAUGUUAACUCAAAGUCCGUAAUGUCCUAAACUGCACAGCUUGUGCAAGCGAUGCAUAAUUUCAAGUAAUUCUCAGGAUUACCUGAAAUAUGGGACAGACAAAAUUAGAAGGAAUCCGUUGCUGAGCAGUCAAAUCCAAGCGCGAAGAAGUUGAACCCAAGCAUGACAAAGUGCACAAGUCUCUCAUAGGUUCAAUUACGGGCCAAACUUCUGCCACUAGGUCUGGUUGAUUGAGUCGCUUCUCCUCACAGCACCUUAAUGCCAAAAAAGCCAACAGUUCCACUUGCUCAAGUGGCCAGUCACCAGCUGAAUGGUCCAAAACAGUACUUACAUUCCCAACUUCCAUGGCACACCGCAUAUCUCUAAUUAUACUGGAGGCAGGUCUUGCUGUUAAAAGUUGUAAUAGUAUUAUUCCAAACGAGUAUACAUCAGAUUCUGUCACAUGCCUUCCAUCAACAUAUUCUGGUUCGAGAUAUAUAGAAGCCUCCAAGUCAUUCUUACCACAUGGAUUCUCACCAUUUUGGAAGUUUUUGAUACCUAAGUCACUUAUUUUGCUGACAAAAUUGGCAUCAAGAAGGAUGUUGCUAAGCUUUAGAUUACCAUGGACUAUACUGCUUUUGUGUGCAUGCAGGAAGAUGAGGGCAGAGCAUAUCUCGCUAGCAAUUCUUAGGCGAAGUUGCCAGGGAAGAGAACGACUCUUCAAAUGGCCAGCAAGGUGAUCUUCAAGGCUUCCAUUUUCAAGGUACUCAUAAAUAAGUGACCUAGAUUCAGUACAGGCACAAAGCAGUGUGACAAGGUUUGGAUGCCUGACCCUGCUUAAAAUUUCUGCCUGUGUCAAUCAAACAAAUAUGGAAACAGUUUAAUAACAACUAUUUACUUUGUACACAAUGACUCACGGAAAUUUCAUCUAGAAUUCUGAAUGCCCUGAUGAACCAUUUCUACCUAAUAACCAUCAAGCAUGGGAUUAUUCAUCUUCUCCAGUUAAGAUGUUCACUUGGCAAGCAUCCAAAGCUCAUCACCCCAGUGACAAAGUACAGAUUACAUCUUCUGGUUGACAGUGACAUUACAAAACACAUUUGCAGUAACUUCUCCAACUGUAUACAGAGAUCAUGUAUGAUAGGGCUAAAAGAGAACUUUUAUUUUUUUUAGGGAGGGGAACUUCAGAUCCUACACAAGCAGAGGAAUAAAGCUGCAUUGCGUUUUCCCCUGCAGGUUACAUGAACAGUCACAUUACACCUUUUCUAUGUAAUUGCUAAGGUGCACAUACAAGGAUUAUUUUUACUGCAUUUUCAAAAGAUUUGAGUAGGGCAAUUUGAAUGAUUGGUCUUAACUACAGCAUAAACCACUGUCUUCCAACUAGCCAUACUGCACAAUACUGCUGGCUGGUAUCCAUAAUUUGAGCUAAUUUCCCAUGCGCUCUUUUUGUUUAGUAGAAAAAGAUAAUAUGGAUAUGAGUUGCAAUCUUAGUACCUGUGCUUUGAGCAUUUAUCAUGAUGAGCAAUGGAUAAAUUCUGUUCCUUUGUGCUAAUGUGCACAAUUUGCAUAGUUAAGUAGGGCCUUUGUCAUUUUUUUUAAAAAAAAAGAAGGUAGGCCCUUUGUCCACAUAUUGUAAAGCUUUCACCAAUACUAAUUCAAUUCAUUGUUUCCAAGAAAAAAAAUAGCCAUACUGCAUAACACAUAACACUACAUAAAGAUGGAAAAAUUCCACGUUCAUGUUCAGCUUUUACAAAAUAAAACUAUGUCUGAACAUAGAUAGGACAACUUCACUCAUGGCGACUAAUUAUUGAACCUAGAAGAUGAAAUGGCAGCCCAUGGAGUAAACUAAGGAGGCAAAUGAAUUUAAAUUAUUAGUAAAGUCACCACUAUGAAAGUACUCCAGAGACCCAAAAAGAUGGUAUAAGGUUUGAUAAUGCCAAAGGUUUUUCCUUUCCUUUAUGGGGAAUGGAAUAAGUCCUACCAGUUUAAAAUGUACUUUUUUCGAUCAAAUUCUUUCACACUAUAAACAACAGGAAUAAACUCCAGAACAGCAAAUGCAAUGCAAUUUAUCUUUUUCUAAAGAAAUUGCAUUCAUCUAGAUAGGAUAGUUCAUGUCAAGAGUAAGGGAUUUUACCUUGUGUUCAAAAUCGGAAUCACUUUGAGAACCACAGGAGGGCAACAUCUUUAUAGCUACCUUGACAUGGUGAAUUAUUCCCUUGUAAACACUCCCAAAUCUUCCCUCUCCAAUCUUCAUCGAUGGAUCAAAAGUUCGAGUAGCCUCAAUGAUCUCCGAGAAAGAAAUAUCAAAGGAAUGAGAGACAUGCAUGGCACAAACAUCUUCUUUUACCAUUUUUUGAAACUUAUGAGAUUCUCUUAAUGCCCUUUCCUGCUCUUUCCAUAGCAGAUCACGCUUCCCCUUGAAACUUAUCAAGAGUUUCACUGCUUGUAUAAUCUUCUCCUCUAACUCCUCCUCUGUAGAACAGUUUUCCAUGAAUUUUCUUUCUAAAGAAAGCUUUUGGUUCUGGACCAGCUGAAGUUCCUUUACGAUUUGAUUGUGCUUAUUUUUCAUUUUUUCUAGUUCUUGCCUUUGCUUUUUCAGCAAAUCUUCCAUAUAACUUCUCGAGUUAAUCUCUUUCAAGUAAAAAGUCUCUGAUGCUUCAGCCUAUCAUAAUGCAUAAGAAUGAAGGAUGAGAGAUAAGUAAUAGAAGAUGCAGAUCAUUUUGCUAUGUUCUAGAUUACAGCUUCACAAGAUAUAGUCAAUAAAUUCAUUUUGGAAGCUAGUAGGUAAGUGCUUUAAUGCAAAUGGUUGUACAUAUAUCUCUUUGAUAACAGAAGAGUGAAAUAAAAAAAUAAACUGACACAUAAACGAAAAGCACAGUUCAUUAAAAAAACUUAAAUUUGUAUUUGCAGCUAUUGGCCAAAUUAUGCAUAUGAAGGGCAGAAAAGCAAGAGCUGUUCUAAAACAUCCCAAGUUUUUUCAGGUGCCCCUGCCUUUUCAGGGUAAGAAGGGGCAGAGAAAAUGCCUCAAGUUUGAUCAAACAAAUUCUUCAGCUAUGCAUCUUCCAAGCACUGUUCUAAAAAAUGCAAGUAUUUUGCUCCCAUAACAGCAUGUACUUUACAGAGAUAUAACAACAAUAAAACUGAAAAAGAAGGCAGUAGACGAGGAGGAAGGAAAGAAACAUAUGAACUUUGAUCAAACAAAGCUACCGUGUAUGUUUCCAACAUAUCUCUGUCACCUCUCCGUCCUCUUACUAGCUCCUCAGUUUGCCUCUACUUACACUUUUCAGCAUCUAUAAUAGCACACUCUGAUUGAUUAUCAAUCCUUCCUUUCACUUCAAGUUUAUCUCCCUGGAAUCACUUCCCCAACAAGUUAGGAGUUGGUGAUCACUAAAUAACUGUCUCAGUAACUACCAUGUUGUAGUAAUCCCCAAAAGUCUCACAUCGAAUCAUACUGGAACAUUUCAGUAGGCAUAAAGAAAUAUGGCCCCCAAACAUACAAAGCAGGGGUUUUAAAUGAUUGGCAAAAAUAUAGUGAAACAACGCUUUUGAUUCAAUUUUGCUUAUAAAUGAAUAUUAAGAAAGAAUCCUUCAUCAGGUUCAUUCAACUUCAGUGACUCUUGAAAAUAGCAAGGGAAAUGCUCUCUGUUUCAAAAUUCAAAAGCUGCAUGAUUACCAACAACUUGACUUUCAAUUGAAAUAAGCAUGCAUACCAGAAAAUCUACAGAUGAAGAAAAAGGUGAAUCUUGCGAACUGCUUGGUAAGUAUAAUGAUGAGCCAUCGCCAGUCAUUGAAUGUGGUAAGUAUAAUGAUGAGCCAUCUCCAGUCAUUGAAUGUGUUAAAUUCUGACCAUGAACCAUGUUUUCUUCAAAUUCAGACACUGUAAUCUUAACAUCUUUGUCAGCAUCUUCUUUAUGAUGUUGCAAAAAUGAUGUCACCUUGUUUGUUUUAGAAGACAAUGGCACAACCCCAGCUAAAUGAGAUCCAAUUUCAUCAGACCUAGCUCAAGAAAAGGAUUACAAACCUGUAUUAGUAAACCUUGACAAUGAUUCUUUAAUACAUGCAACCAAAGUCAUACUGUGUACAACAAUGAUUUUACAUUCCCUUUUUAUCAUAGUUGAGUUGUUAUAUACUAACAUCUACAUUUGUUCUCCCCUUAACAUUUUGUUAAGUCAGUGUUCUUAUUCUUCUCUUCAUCAUUUCGAAAUUACAGCAGCUCAAAAUGACAAAAUGAUGUUUAGAUAAGAAUAUGUACUCUUAGAACAAAAUCCGCAUGCCUACUGAGUAAUGCAAAAGAAACAUGAAACUAAGGCAAUCCUUGUCCAUGGACUGGAAAAUUGACAGUUUGAAACAUAAAGAGCCACAGAAAGCAGAGAAAAUAAAGAAUCUUAAAUUAGUAAGAAAAGUUGCAGAACAAGUCCUGACACUAUCUAAGGCAAAAGAGUUCGGAAGCAAUAGCAGCAAGGGUCCACUACAGUUUUUUCAAAAUAAUGGACAUUACAACGGAAAAGCUGCUUCACAGUAGAAUUUCAUGUUCCUCUCCCAAAAUCCACUUGCAAAGUAUAAUCCAAUCUGGUAGGAAUUUAUUUAGCUUUCCUUAAGAUGGCACUCCACAACAACUUUAACAGAGUCUCAAGUGAGACUUUAUCUACUUUAGCCACCACAACAAGAAAAUAUGAGAAAAGAGACUAUAUAAUCUGCUUAACAGUAAAAGCACAAACGUCAGAUUAGAUUUGAAACAAUUAAUAGCAAUGAGUAAGAAUUUUAGAACAACAUUAAACCUUCUAAAAAAGUUAAAUCUUCAGAAAAUUGAACACUUAACAAUCAUCCUUAAAUUGUCUUUGCCUGGAAUUCAGAUUUCCAGUGACAAAAAUAUACCUUCUAAGAGAGUCAGAAUCUAUCUAUUUAACAAUGAUCUGCUUGGUGUUAGCGUGGAAGUUCAGGCUUUUGGAAGGCUAGACUUAGCCUAAUUCAGAUCCCAAGCUCGAAAUUACAUAUCAAGAAGGAAAAGAAAAAAAAAAUUAUGGUACAGCAAUAAGGGGACUACUUACAUGAAGAGGAAUACCACACGAGAGCAGGACAAAUGGAAAAUAAAAAUAGUAGAAUGUUCAGAAUACCUAGUCCGAAUGAGGCAACCUUUACAGGAAAACCAAAUUUGGCAUGGAACUGGUGCAUGGUGGCAAACAAAAAUUGCUUUAUUUGACUUGAGUUCUGACAAGUUCCUGCAAUCUAGUCGAGUCUGAAUCAGAUGAAUAAAUGAUUAACAAAGAUAAAGGACAUAAGAAAGUUACUAUCAGGAAAAUAAACUUUUGGUGGCACAAUUAGCCUCCAAUAGGGUAUGUGCUUUUGACACCUCCUCGACAAGUGUUACUCAACUUCAAGAAAGAAACAAAGUCUUAUGAAGUAGAUUAAAUUUCAUACUCGGAGUAGUAUUUCUCUGCAGCUGCUCCCAUAACAAGCCAUUUAACUCCAUGAUGAGAAAUGAUGUGUAGAAUUCCUUGCUCGAUAUUGCUCAUUUCAAUCCAAAUUUUACCUGGUCGAAUCUGCAAAUACAUAACGUCAUUGUCUCUGAGACGACAAGCAAACAGUACCUUUUACCAUUAAUUUUGGUUCAAGUGUAUAUAAAUAAAUGCCUGUCUGAUGCCAACUUAUAUUAAUCUUGUAAAGCAGUGAAAAUGACUUGGCAGCAUGAGAUGAGAUACUACCCCGACUUGCUCAACAAGUUGAAGAUACUGAUUCAAAAUGCUGUGCAUCUUUUGGUGUUCAAUUUCCUGAAAUUUCUCAACUGCUUCUGAAAGCCUUUCAUUCACUGUAAACAUAUUACAAGAAAUGAGGCACAAUCAUGUUGAGAAUUAAAAGAAAAUUUUCAGCCUGGACAUACAAUCCAAAUAGAGUAACAAGACAGCAUAAUCAACAGUACCAGACCAGAUUUUCGUAAUGAAAGUUCAUCAUAAUAGAGGCGUUAAAGUAUUAGGACAAUAUUUUUGAAUUAGUAUCCUUCUUGGAGUCUCUUUUACCAAUAAUGUCAGGAGUCAUACAGCAGAGAAAAUCAAACAAUAAUGCUGCCAAAAGGGAAAAAAAAUCCUGCUUAAAGUUGCAUCCACCAUGAUUUUCGUCAGUUCCCUCAACCAAAUUAUCAUGAAGCUGACAUAUAAUACUCCCUCAAACCAUUCACUCCUUCCACACGUGACAACCUGACGGCCAGUAAAUAGGAACUUCACUCAGCAGCAAUUUCAGAGCAACUAUUCAAUGCCAAACUCUUUGAAACUUUGCUAUAAUGGCAAAGCCAGGAAUAUGUAUGGAUAUCCAGUCUAAAACUUCUUAACUUUCCAUGCCAACAAUAGUUGCAGUGGAUCUUGAUCUCAAAUUUCAUUACCACCCAGUGGAGUUUAUCGAAUUCUUGAUUUGUAAAGAACAUGGACAAGUACAUUAUAGCAUACACGCGACGCAGUCUGUGGAAUAAUAGUGCAUGUACGUACACUUCAAACUCUAUGCUACUAUAACGACUUGCAUAAACAGAGGAACCAAAACUAAGGAAAUAAGAAAACAAUUCUAAUGUUUGAAAUCACGACCAAGCCCAUUAUUAUCCAGAGAUAAUUAAAAGGCUCUAUCUCUGUUUUUUUCUUUUCGUCUGAACAGAUACUACUAUCUUAGCAACCAAUUCAACACACAAUUAUCUGAAAAACUUGAAAAACCCAAUAACCAAAAGAAUCAGAUGGCUAAACUUACUGAGGGAAGGUGAAUGAGUAGGCUGAUGAACAUGAAGAAUACAGAUAUUUCUUCCAGCAAAGCUUUUCAAUGCCCAGGACAACAAAGAUUUGCCCUCCUCCACAUUCUCUCCCACAGCCACGAAAAUCGUAUCAUCGACAUCACAUACCCCCUCUGUCCUUAUUUCUCCUUCACCCAUCGUCACCUAAAAUUUUUCAAUCCACCAAGAAAUAAGGAGAAAAUGCAACCUUUUUCUCCCCAAUCCCCCCCCCCCUUUCUGUUAAUGGCGAAAUAAGACACGCUGAAUGAACAGAGUUCAAUCACUUUGGGCUCUCUUCCGGAUCACGAUUCAAGAAUUACAGAGUGAUGCAAUGAUAGUCACGCCAACCAUAAUCUAGAGAGUGAGCGGUGGGACGCCAGAUAGGGGCAGAGAUGCCUACCUUUUGGGGAAAAAAAUUGACAAGAGAUGAUGAUGAUGAAAAAGAAAACAGUAGCUAGUGAAUUAGUGAGAGUCUGUGAUCAGUGGAAAAGCUUAGGAAAUAUCACCAUAUGGGGAAACUAAGAAGAUUUCCGUACUGAUGUACUCUCUGUUACUUCCCUUUUGUAGAAGCCAAGCUAAUAAAACGUGCCCAAGAAAAUUGGGUGUCCGAACAGAAAAAUGAAUAUUGUGUUAUAAAACUAAUGCUAAUGUGAUAUAGAUUUUUUUUUUUGAAAAUUAAUGUGAUAUAGAUUUUGAGUUAUUUGUGUGAUAGCUAAUAUGUUAAGAAAAUAGGAAAAUUAAAGAGUUGAGAAAAGUAAGAAAACAACUAUUAUUCAUGAGUUUAUUGUCAACAUAACUCUCCUUGGUAUAUACUCAAAGUAGCUUAAUUUUAAAAUUUAUUACCUUUAUAAUCCAUUUUUUAUCAAAUAGGCUGGCAUAUAUACUAGGAUGAAAAUAGGGGCAUACUCCAUUUCUCUUUUCUAUCUAAUAAAUUUCUAGAUUUUCUCUCUGAACCUUCGCACUAUUUUUUCUUUCCAUUAUCUUUCUCUUGUCAAACGUAAUUCUGAUAAUUCAAUAUUUAUAUUAACAGCAUCUAAAACUUUAAUAUUAUCCUUAUUGUUGUUUCAGUUGAUUAAAAAUAUUCUUCUUGAAUUGAUAAUUUCAAGGUAAACAAAAAUUAUUCGCUUGUCUUUUUUAUUAUGGGACAUUCUUACAGGCCUUCAAAAUAUUUUGAUUGCUAACUGUUUAAUAAAUGAUUUUUCACAUCAUGUGUUUGAUAAAAUGUUUAUGAGGAACCACUCUAUAACAAUAUAGAUUCAUGCCUAGGAUGUCAUUUGCCUUUUAUGCUUGUAAAUUACAUAUACAAUAAUCCAAUAAUUUUUAGUUUGCAAUUAAAAUUUUGAAAUUUUUAGCUUGAUUACUCUUCGUAAAAGUUAUUUUCAAGGAAUAGGAAUGAUAAUAUAAACAAAUAUAAUAGCUUUGAAGUUUUUGUAACUUUUCUUAUUAUUACUUACAAUUUUCAUUGUAAUUUUUAUAUUUUUAAAAUUUAAAUUAUGAAAAAUAUUUGCAAUAGGUUUGAUGCAUUCAAAAAAAAUGCAGAGACUAAUAAUAGCAAGGUCAAUAAAUAGUAUAAUUUAUUUUAAAUAAUUAUAAGGAAAUUAUCAAAUUUAUGCAAUCUUCUUGUGCCUCUAUAAUAAAAAAAUUUUAAUUUUUAGUUCUUGUUGGAAACUAUAGACUAAAUUAAAAUUUUCCUUUCUUGUUAUCCUAUAUAACAAUUAGGAUAAUUACGUGGCAACAAUAAUAUCGCUAUGGUAAUAAAAAAAUGUUAUUUUGGCAAAAAACUUAUUAUUUCAUUCACUCAAAUGGAAUCUCAAUUUUCUAUCUCUUUUGAUAGAGAGGGGGUAACCCCUAUUUAUAAGGAAAAAUAUAGCAAUUACCUUCUUCAAAAUAGUGAUACAAUAUUCUCUUAAGAUGUAAUAGUUUUAUUGACUGUAGUGCCAACUUUAUCGAAAGUUGUAAUAAUUUUAUUGAAAGUCGUACCAUCUCUGUAACCUCAAAAAUUGUAAAACGUGAAAAUUUGUUACCAUCCAAGGGAUGAGAUAGACACCCACAAUAUUUAAUCAUUUCAUAAAAUAUGAAUUGGAAAAAGAAAAAUAAAAGGCUAUUAAAAUAAAUGGUUUUAGAUACUUUUCUAAAUUUGCAUUUUCAUUUUUGUUUAAAUUUAAUACCUUGGCCUAAAAAUUUUUUAAAUUAUCAUUUACUCUUUGAAUUUAAUUGUAUAGAAAAUUUAUUCUUUUUAUCUCAGAUAAAGAUAAAAGUACUACAACCCAUAUUUGAACAAUAUAUUAGCUCCUUUCUUUCCCCCCUCCAAAGGUUAGUUCCAAUAUGAUUGUUAAACAAGAUUUUAGCACAUCAAGCCAAAACUAGACAAGCAACUAUAAAAACACUGAAAAUGCCAAAAUUAAUCUCCAAAACCCUAGUACUUGACUAGAAAAAUAGCUCAUAAGGUACAAAAAAUCAAGGUGUCAAGUUGGUUAGACAAGUACUCUACAAGGAUAGUUUAAUUUAUGCCAUAACUAACAAAAAAAAAAAAAAAAGAAACUUACAGGAGUGAUCCUAUUUCAGGGUAAGAAUGCCAUUGAAGUGAGUCAAAUUUGAGCAGUAUCAUACUCGAAUUCGAACUUGAUCACUAUCAAUGUUACUCGAAUUUGAAAAAUUUGAGCUUGAAUUCAGCUUGAUAUAAUGGAAAUUAAGAUCAAACUCAAUUCAUUUGAGUUCAAGUAAACUGCAAACCUUAUCAAACUUGAGCUCGAGUUUUUCUUUUUUCUUUUUAAUUUUAUUACAUUUUAAAUUUAUCAAAUUAUCAUUUUGCCAUCCAUCAUUUUUUUUAUUGAACAUUAUCUAAUGUAAAUUUAUUAAAACAAGAAUCCAUAAUAGUCAUUCCAUAAUUAAAAUAUAUAAUGUAUAAAUAAUAUAAAUACUUGAUUAAGUCCAUUGAGUACUCGAGUAGCUAUUACUGAUGUUCGAACUCGACUCAUUACACGGUACAAGUAACUCGAACUCAAGCUCAGAUUCGAUCAAACUUAGUUCGAGUCAAACUUUUGAUUAAGCCAUUUACAAGUUACUCACGAGCGAUUUGACCUGCUACACCCUUGUUUCUGGGGGGCUAAACAAACCGCAUCCAUACUUGAGGGGAGUUCACCAUAAUUUGCAACAGCUUCCCCCCUUCUUCAAUAAAUUUACCAAACUGUAACCCUUUCCCCGCCAAAACCCACUUAUGAGUGAUUGACAAUUUUGAGAGACCCCGGUCCAUUCUCUGUCGUACAUGUGCUGCCAGUAUAUCCCACCUGCAUUUCCUUCUCCUGAGUCUUGACUGGUAGUUCGAGUUUUCUGUUGAUCCCUCUCUCUCCCCGAAAACCCCCCUUAAAUUCGUCCUUUUGGGUCUUCCCAGCUAACAGGAACACACCCGAACUCGUAUCAUUGACAGCAUGGAACCAACCUUGGGGAAUGACAUCAGUGGCCAAGAUUCAGGGCCAUUAAUUGAAACCGAAAACUUCUCCCAUGAUCUUCAGGAGCUACGGUUAGAAAAUGAAUCUAUGGUCGCCGAGAUUGAAUCCCUUCGUGCAUCAUAUCAAACCCUCCAAUCUAGCUACACAGAGAAAGAGGAAAAGGUAGCCCAGAUCAAUCAAGAAAAAGAAGAGCUUUUUAAGCAAAAAGCUGAUCUCUUGGAGGCCAUUAAAGAGUUAUCGAGCGAAAGAGACUCCCUGCGCGAUGAGUUCACUAAGCUUGAGGCCUCUUCGAGGGAGCAGGAAGUUGAGGGGGUGCGGGAGAAAGAAGAAAUCAAGGAGGAACUUGAAAGUUGUAAAGACAGACUCGAGGAGCUGUUGAAGGAGAAGAAUGAAAAAAAUCAGUAUUUUUCCCAAAAAUUGGGCAUGAUUAAGCAAGGUUUGGCUAGGGUAGUUGAUCGUUUAGAUGUAGAAGGGGAAGAGCACAGCAAUGAAUUGGAGCUAAAUGGGGAUUUGGGGUUGGAAUUCAAGGGGAUUUUGGAGUUACUAAGUAAAGUUGAACUGAAAUUGGAUGAAUUUACGGAGAAAAGGAAGAAAGAAAAGAGGGAACUUGAGAGUAGUUUAGUUAGCCUGACAGAGGAGAACAGAGAUAUCAAUAACUUACUGAGGAUCGCCCUAGUGGAAAAAGAAGCAGCGGAGAAGAGCUUAAAUAAGCUAAAGGGGAACAAUGAACAGAAGAGAGGGGCUAUCUUGCAAAUUGCUGAAAGAAGUUUGCAGAAAGUAGGUUUUGGCUUUAUAGUCGGAACUGGAGGAAAUGAACUGUCACCUGAAAACUCUGCUGCUAAUUUAGCUCCUAAAUCGGAUAGUAGUGAAUGUGAAGAGGAGGCUGUUAGUUUGGUAAGGUCCUGAUUUUCAUUCCUGGUCAAUAAAAUAUGUAGUGUUGGCUAUGUUUUCUUGUCUGAAAAAUGUUGACUCUUGUUCAUUCGGUUCUUCAUUUAUAUUUGUAAAAAAUUGUACCAGAAUGUUUCUGCAGACGUUUGUAAGAAAAAUAUUUUCAUUAACGAGAAGUUGCUAAUUUUAAUUUUGCAAAUUUUCUCUAUAGAGACUGCACGCAAGAUGUUGCCAUGCUUAUAACACUUCCAGACAUCAGUCUCUGGCUUAGCUCUUCCAUACAGUAGUACACUGCUCAUGCUAUUUUAUUUAGAUGACUUUUGUUGGAAUGAAACAGGUUGUGACCCACUUACAGACAAGCACAUUUCAUACACCGAUGUGCACACACACAUAAAGCUCUAUUAAGAAGCUCUAAUUAUCAACUAUUGUCUGUACUGAGUGCCACAGAGGGAUAAGGUGCAUUGCUUCAUAGUGCUAACGAGAGGUCUAAUUUUUAUGAUGUUUAUUCUCAGGCUUCAACUGUGGAGAGAAUAAUGAAGAACUUGCGACUUGAAAUUACCCAAUUAAGGAGGUCUUUGGAUGACUCUAGGUAACAUUUCACGAUUCUCAUAAAAGUAUACAGAGGUUCGAUUUUCCUUUUGGCCAUUGCCCGGAGGCAGUGUCAGAGGGGAAGUUGGGAUGAGUUACUAUUUCCUUGAGUGGUGAAUGAGGAUAAUUAAAGGGAUGUAUUUGUCUGACAGGGUGAAAAUAACACUUGGGCAGUUCUUGCUGAGUGAAUUUCUUACUAUGAACUUCCAUAUUCUUGCACCUUUUUUGAUCAGAGAAUGUUCUGCCUGGCACUAAAAGGGUCCAGAGAUGAAAUAAUUGAAUGUAAGCUGGAAAAUAGAUAAUAAUUGAAGCCCGAUUCAAAAGUGGAAAAAAUUUAAAGCUCGCCAGUUUACUUUUCUUUUAUAAUCUCAGCUGGACUGAUGCUUUGAUAAAUUUGGGCAUCACUUUUGCCGUCUGUCAAUAAAUACUCCUCCUUAAUCCAUGUCUCAACAGGUAUAUGAAUCUCAGAUACAUUGUAUAACCUACAUUUCUACCCGGUAUGAUUAAUUUAUUUUUGUACAGCAAUAUGGGAACUCGGUUGUUCUGUUAGUAGUGAGCUCCGAAUGUAUCAACUAGGAGAUUGUUAGCAGUUGUGUCGUAUUCCUGUUUCUAACCGGAAAACAUACAAAAUUGUGUUUCUAUUGGGAGUUACCUGGGACAAACACAAAGCGUUACAGAGCUGUCUCGCAUAAGUUGAAGGAGUCUUCUUCUUUGAUAUCUUGAUACUCGUUUACUUUUACUGUCAUCUUAUCUUCUGCUUUAAUCCUCCUGGAGCAACCUUUUCAACCUUAUUAUACAUCUAAAGUAGACUAGGAUUCUUCUGGCCUAACAAGUCAAAGGUAAAGUCAUAAAAGGUCUUCCAGAGUGACAGCUACGUCUGUAGACUGAAUUUCAUGACGAGAAUGACCCUAGUAUGGGCAAUUUCUAUUUCUCGCUUUCGUCAUUUUAAGUGAGAACGCAUCUUCUGUGUAUCAGGCUUGCAGAAAGAAUGUUAUUUAGGGUUGCCAAGCCAAAUGGUACUCAAGCACAAACUGUUUUCACUUGAAUAUGCUAUUCUCUUUUUGCUAUUUAACUUCUUAAUUCCAAUCACUGUCAGGUCAGAAUCUGAACGCCUUCAGAGUCUAACAGAGAUGCAAGCUCAUAAAAUGGCAGAAUAUGUUAUGUACAUCAAAGAGCUCGAGGACAGGGAAUUGAUUUUAACUCAAAAGGUUAGCAUCUUUUCCCUUAACUGAGAUGGUUAUUCAUUUCACUUUUCCUUAGCCUUCUGCAACUGAAAAAGCAGCAUCUUCUUUUGCUUUUCUUGUUAAGGUUGAAGAACUCCAUGUAAAAAUUAUAGAAACUGAGGAAGAGGUUGUAAGGUGGAAAGAAGCUUGUGAGUUGGAGGUGCAGGCUGGAAAAUACUUAACUGAAGAGCAUGAAAAAGUGGUAAUUGAUCUGCUCCUAAUUUUUAUCAACGUUUAUUCUGCUAUCUUCUCCACUGGCUACAUUUUUCUGUUGCAGUAUUUCAUGAUGUGCUUCUUUGGUGAAUGAUCAAUAUAGGAUCAAUUUAGAAGUUGGUAACUGGAAGCAACUAAAUAAUUAUGUUAAGCAAUGUUUCUUCUUGUCAUACUUAAAUUAUACAGUAGAUUGUUAAGAGAUCUAAACUGGUUUAUUGGGAAGAGGCAUCUGAAACUCUUUAGAUUUCUGAUAUUGUCUAAUCUUUUGGUGCAUUCAACAACUCCAUGCAUAGCCACUAUAACUUGGCUUGGCUUCCAUCAGGGGGGGAAAGAAGUUAAAAAACAGACCACUUAUGGAUCUUCCUCCCAUUGGAAUGGGGAAAUAAAAUGGAAAAAGAAGAAAGACCUCAAUAGUGCAUGCCCAUUGCCCGCGUAUAGCUUUGGAAUUCCAUGGUUCUGAUGGAUUUUGAUGGCCGUGUUCCAUUAGGUUCACAUUCUACAACAAGAACUAGAAAAGACAAGGACUGCUUUGCAUGUGUCAAAAAGCAAAGUAAAGCUCAAGGACGAGCUAGUAGCCACUGCAAUUGCUGCGCAGGAAGCAACUGAGAGAUCUCUCCAGCAGGCUGACAGCCGUUCUGCAGGACUCCUUGCCCGAAUAGAAGAGCUGACAAGAGAGUUGGAGGAAACAGAGAAGAGGGAGCGGGCUAAUCGGCAUAGAAUCAGGCAUAUUUGCUGGCCAUGGCGAGUUCUCAAGUUCAACCCUGCUAAUACUGCAAAUAGUACAGUUAGAAAUAUCAGACGGAUGCUACCCGAGAUGCAAGCCUUGCUACAUGAACGUCUCAGUGUCUAGUCUUGUCAGACCAAAUUGAAUGUGGCUAAAUUGCACGAGUUGUAAGAUGGCACAUUCUAGCUAGAUGUGGAAUGUCUGUACCUUUAAUCCAGUUACGUGACGUUGUUCUACUUCUUAGUAGAGAUGUGUUGAGAUUCACCCAUUCAUUCCUGUGGGUAAUCGUCUAGGGCAUGCAAAACUGCAUGCAAAUAACACUCCUAUCAGCUCAAUCUCUUUUUGAACUUUUCUCUAAGGGUCGGUGACAAAUGACAUUGAUCCAAACGAAAUGGUGCAAUGCACGGCACUGCUAUUGCACUUCUUUCAUUUCUUAACAUACCAUUCAUCGUUUGGUUUUGUCAUAGUUACAAAUGAAGAAUCAUAAUUAAUGGAUCGAGUAAAGCGAAACUGAAGGGUGAGAAAGUGACCCUGUACAAGAUAUUUUAUAUUCUGAACAAACCCAACAAAAACCAGAAAUUUCUCUAGGACAUUUGUUUCUAUGGCAAUUCAUUUUGCCAUAGAAAAUCUUCAGAAGACUCGUUUUCACGGCAAAUCAUUUUGCUUAUACAAACUUCUUUGAAGACUUGAUUAAUGGCAUGUCAUAUCACCGAUGACAAGCUAUUCAAAUGCCAAAUCAACUAAAGAGAUCUCCAGCCAUCUUCUUCACCAUUCCUUUGACCUGUGCAUCCAAAAGAAAUCUGAUAUAAUUAAGAAAAUCCAAAACAUGCUUCAACCAAGUCUUCCAUUUUUUUCAUUUUUCUCAUUGAACAUAAAAAUGUCAAGGAUUGCAUAGUAAAUUCAUAGCAUUUGACAAUGUCAGCAGGAAAAUCAGAUAAAAAAUAUAUGGAAUGAAACGUAGAACAUACUUGCUUAGCCGAAAGACCAAUGUCUUGCAAAUCAUCAAGCUGUGAAGCAAGACAUUUAACAAUAUCAAUCAUCAACUCCCUAAAAAGCAUGGCAGCAUAAACUUAUUCACUAUCUUUCCCUUGAAGAGCACAAGAAACUCACACUCUUGAAAGGUUCUGGAGAUUCUUCACGAAGUUGAAGAAUGUAGGUAGCUCUCUUUUCCCCAAUACCCUGCGGAUGAAUAUCACACAUUCAACUUUGGAACAAUAAUAUAAUUGAACACCACGGCCUUCUGAAAAGGAACUUAAAAGAUCAACUCACCCUUAAUCCUUUCAGCUCUUCUCUGCAAAUACAACCAAAAGAAAAAGUAAAUUAGGAUUAUGCACAUAUAAUGUAGGAGAUGACUACUGACAUAAGCACCUGAGUUGAUUACCACUGUCAACAAAAAUUACUUAUUCAUGAUAACCUACCAUGCAAGUGAUCCGUUAAACAUACUAAUGUAUACGUGUUAAUCAAAGAACGUAGCAGGACAUGUAAUUUAAUUAGCCCAAUGCUCUCUACAAUAUAAAAGUAAAGCCAAGUGUGGUGUCCAUAACAAUUUGAAACUUAUGCCAGUCCACAUUGAUUAGCAAAGUUUGAGUCACAUCCCAUCACUUUGUGAAGCUAAGAUUAUUGGUUGACAGAGGAUGAGUACAGGAAUAAAAUGCAGCUGGUUCGUUUCUAUUGACCAUCAAGUGGAAGGCUCACAGAAAUUUCAGGAAUAUAAAAGAAAGCAUUUUCAUGCAAUUUCUCAAUGUCUUGUGCUUUUGACCAUACUACAGAUACAAUUAAAACAAUGGUGAAUUCUCAAUGCCAGAUGUGAAAGGCAGAAUGAUGGAGAACAGAAACAGUUUAGAGGAACAAACUACUUACUUGCUAGCAGAGUUUAAGAACCUAAGGUAUUCCUGAACAAGGGAAUCCUGCAGCAAAAAGAAUGGGAUUAUUAGAACAACACAUCACACAAACAAAGAGCACAAAAACAAUCUACACAUAAUAAAACACAGAGCUUAAACCUUCAUUCCAGAACUGCGCUUACUGAGCAUUUCCCAAGGACUACUAUAUUUUGUGAUCUCCGAUCUUUCAGUAACUCGUGCACCAUAUUCAAAUAUUGGGGUCUUUGGCUCAAUAACAUUAUGUUGUGCAUCACCAUUAUCUAGCAUCUUUACAUGUAAUGGAGUUGAAGAACAGAAUGAUUUCAAGCUGUUUGAUAGUUGUCUUAAUCUCUCACUAAGUGGAGGUGAUCCAUGCUCAUUCAAUGUCUCCUUUCGUAUGACACUACCUGUCAUGUAAAUAUUGUGUAAAGAAAAGAGAUGACACAAUUUGAUCCUAUAGUUGGAGAAGUUUCAAUAACAAUAACAGUGCACUACCAUCUUGCGGAGGAGAUUUCUCACAAACUACAGCAGGAAUGAGUUCCAAAUUGUUGCUUCUUUUGUGUGCAGAAAUGUCCUGAGAGAUUUAAAAACAUACUCAAAACUAGAAUUGUAGAACAUAUUUAUGAGGUACAGAGAUUAUUUAUGCUACCAAAAGCAAAUGUUUUUUAGUUACAGGUAAAAGCUGAACUAAUGUAUUUUCCUUAGCUGCAGAUAUUUGUGAUGGACAUAUCAUCCUAGUUGCUAGCACAGAGCUAACCUUCUCAACUAAGCCACUAGAUGUUUGACUAUCAAAGUACUUGGGAAAUCAAUAUGGUGCAGUAAAAAGUAUAUUGAUCAUGGCAAAUCCAUUCAUAUCUACCCUUAGUUGGAAAGGAUUAAAGCUGUACUUAUUCUUGAGUUCCAAAGGGAUAUAAUGAUUCUGAUCUUACAUUUUCCUUCAGUUCCGGAUCCAAACUAAAUUCUGGAUUUGACUUUUCUUGAGAGACCUGAAAUACAAAGAGAUCAUUUCUAUAACUGAGCCAUAGAGUCCCUGUGUUAUUAUUAGGAUACACUGAACUUAAUCUUACAAGUCCGUCAGGUACAAAGGCUGAAGGAUUAUCUAAAAUCGACUCAACCUGCAAAGCCUGCAGAUUUAACAAAUAACGUGACUCAUUAUGACUGGCAAUUAUAAAUUAUACUCGAAUACCAUUUCACUGUGUAUUGUACCUUCUUCAGCUUGGAGGGUGACACAGCUACAGACUCUGGAAUUGACUUUUCCUGAGAAACCUACAAUACAAAGAGAUCAUAUCUGUAACUGUGCCACACAAUCCCUUUGGUAUUAUUAGGAUAUACUGAACUUGAUCUUACAACUCCUUCAGGUACUAAGGCCAAAGGAUUAUCCAAAGUGGACUCAUCCUGCGAAGCCUGCAGAUUUAAUGAACUGCAUGACUCACUAUAACUGGCAAUUAUUGACUGCUUCUUCAACAAUAUGAAUUAUACUCAAACACGAUUUUGCUUUGUAUUGUACCUUCUUCAGCAUGGAGGGUGACACAGCUGCAGCUGUUUCAGGUACAAAUUCGAGUUUCUUGUCUGAACAAUCAUCUUGUGGGAGCCUUGUCUACAUUGCAUACUGAAAUGAAUUAGAAUUCAUUGAAUAUAUUUUUGGUUCUUGAUAUUUGUAAAUUUCACAGUUCCUAUCAUGUUUCAGAUCAAAGAUAGCCUAUCUGUUACAAAAUAAGUGAAAAAGCAAAUGAAUGUUGAUUAUUCCAAAAAGAAAAAUAAUGGACAGGAAUCAAAUAAUUGAUGAGUAGUGAUUGAGCAUAUUUCUUGGAACAUGAAGAUACAAAAUAGGGAAAACAAAUGGGAGUGAUAAUGAGGAUUAACUGUUGGUAAAAAUUACCAACCUCAAAGAUGAGAACCUGAUUAGAAGUGAUAUUCUUCCCCUCUUCAAAAAGUUUCCUUCAAAUACACGGCAAAAAAGAAUAUUCAGCAGAUAUUUAGGAUAUAUUCUUUUGAUCGUGUUAUAGGAAUAAAACGUGCUAUACCUUCCCUUUGACACGCAACUGGUACCCUUUGCAGAUAAAUGCAAACUUGAGACUGCUGGUUUUCUAGCAGAAGGAGUACAAAAAGGCUUCAUGCUAUUUUGUAAUGAAAGCAUCUUGAAUCUAGCUGAGCUUUUAGCAUUAUUGACAGACUCAGUCAGUACAUGAUUUGUACUUUGACAUGACCUGGAAACUAAACUCAAUGUGCGAAGAGUGUCUUGGCAAACAUGUGGGUUCUACAAUGAGAAGAGCAGCUAUUUCUAUUAGAUACAAAAUAAGAAACUAAGCGUAGUAAAACUGGUCACAAUGAUAACUGAGAUCCAUACCAAACAAGUGAGCAGCACUACAUGACUUGUGCCCCUGAGUGACUCCUUAAAAAUGUGAGUAAGUUUGCUCUCACGGUAUGGCACAUGCAUCUCAUUGGCAUUAAGUGCAUAAACAACAUUCAGUAAGGUGUGAAGGGACUUGUUAGUUCUGUCAAGAAGUGCACUUCCGUCUCUACUAAUUCUUCUGGAAUCCUCAUAUCCUGGUAAACAGGGCAUAGGAUGUUAAUUUUGUUCUUCAAAAUUCCUAACCAUAUAAGAUUAACUAGAGAGGUAUCAACCUGCUAAAUCAACAAAAUUCAUCUUUCCCGCAAGCUUGGUUGUUGAGUUAUCAUUCAUUGCUAAUACAUGUAUUAUUAAACAUUUAUGGCUCCUUCUUGUAUGCUCAUGUGGUAUCUUGUGUGCUGAUUUGCUGAUGUUCGACAUACUAAAGUAUAUAUUCUGAAACUCUAAAAUGGAUUUCACAGGAACCUGGAAACAGAGAAGAAGAAAGAACGGUAAAAAAAUUGAAAAAUCUAACUAUGCUUUUCUAGUUUCGUGAACUCAUUUGCUGAAAAUUACUUUAGAUAGCCCCUUAAGAUUUAUUUUCCCUCGGCAAUCUUCAAGUACUUGUACUUCAGAAUGCUUGGGAUCCAGAAGAUCAUAAGCAUGCUCCUGCUGAACCUCAAAAAUAGAUAUUGAAAGUGACUUUCCAGUCUCCUCAGCUUUUGAGAGCAAUUCAGUCAUCGUCAUUACAGCUAUUCCUGGUUUGUUUUCAGCACCCUUGGUAGAGACAGAAAAUCAUCAACAAUUUCCGAGAAACACAAGAAAAUUAUGGCCACACAGGGCGAGAAAUAACAGAACAAAAACCUGAAUCGUAUAAGUUUUUCCACUUCCUCUAGCCCCAUAAGCUAUAAUUGAUGCAUGUCCACCACUGAGGACAUCUGAAGUCAAAGGCUCUAUCUCUCUGGCAAAAAGUGUACCUGUAUCCUCAUCUUGUUCAUAACAGUGGUCCAGUUUAUACGAUGCUUCUUUUCGACUGUAAGAAAAACACAAAUAUCACAAGUGAAGCUUCAAAACUACGAAAGUAAAAUCAAGUCGGUAGAACUAAAAUUGAUUAUCUUAUGCUGAAUAAGUUAAGAGAAGUUCGAAUUUUGUUCCACUUUUCCAAAAUCUAAACCAAAUAAAAAAUUGGAAAGGUAAAUUUCUAGGAAAAAAAAUGAAAAAGUUAUCCCAUAAACUGCAACAGAUAUCCAACACUCAGUAACAUGGGAUUCUAGACUUAAUAUUAAGCCAAUAGGCAAUGAAGAAAAAUCCAGACUUCAAUAUACAACUUCAAAACUACAUCAAGAACACAAAAUCUGAACAGAGACCUGGAAUAAUCACAAAAGAAGCAGCAUAAAGACAAAAUAAACAACACACUGAUGUAUUUGUCUCUUCCCAGAUCAUUAUUUGAGCAGUAAUUUCUAUAAGAAACUCACAAGCCCAAGAAGGAAAUUGCAUUACCCCAGCCCGUCUCCCACAAAAAUUAAAAAAGAAAGAAAAGAAAAGGGGAAACGAAAUUAAGCAAUUUGAAAUUCAAAUUCAUGGGGUGAAGGAAUACUGGCGGCAAUAAGUUUGCAGUACCUAUUAUUGAAUUGGUCCAAGAAAGAGAGCGUGAGCGUGGUUUCAGAUGAAGCCCCGUGGUGUUCGGGUUUGGAGACAGUGAUCCAAGGCUUUGGAGAAUCAUGACUGAAAGAUUCAGAUUCUUGGCUAGUGAAGCCCCUGAUUCUCCCAAUUACUCUCACUCGUCUACGAGAUGGGUUUACUCCCAUUUUAACUUUUAAAUUCUGAUCUGGGCCAGGCGUUGAUGAAGUCAUUGCAAGCAAAAUUGAAGAAGCAAGAAGCUCUGAGUGCGUGAGAGAGAAAAAGAUUAGAGGGAAUUGAAAGGGAGAAAGACGGCAGUUUGAUUCUUAGGAGUGCUGUGGGGUUUGCGACAUUGAUAGAGUAGCCGUUAGUCUGUUCUGAGAGGAGCGAGCAGGCUUUCAAAUUGUAGGCCUUUGGGCGCUCUUCCCCCCUCCUCCUCUAGGCUCUCUUUAUUUGUUACAAACCACAAGGGUAUUAUUGUCCAACUAUUUCUAUCCUGUGCCUCAGAAUUAUAAUACUGUCGUGUGAUUGGAUAGAAAAUUAUUUGAGAUAAUUUUUUUUAAAUAUUGUAAUAUUUAUUUUUUUAAUACGAUGUAUGUGACAUAAAAUAAUAUUUAAAAAAUAUGUUGAUAAUGCAAAUAAAUCAAUGCAUAUAAAUAAAGUCUAAAUAAGAUAUUAUUCACAAUUUUUAUAUACAUAAUUUAUACGUCAAAAGAAAAGGUGGAAAAAUAUAGAGAAUUUAGAGAUUGGAUGAUAUUUUUACAAGUUUUCUUCUUUUUGGUAUUUUAUCCCUUACCCUUUUUUUCCGAGAGGAAAGAAAUUCUCACACACACACAAUUAGAUUAGAAACACUCGGAAGUUACGCCCAUUAAACCUAAGUAGGACCUACAAAGAAACCACGUCCAGCCAAUUGGUGACAGGAUGAGACUCCCAUGGAACUUAAGUCUAGAUUGAAGAACCCACAUACAAGCAAUGUGGGACGAAAGCCUAAACACCCCCAAUUCCCCCCCUCCCCCCCGGCCCCGGUGCACACCCAAACAUAUGGUUUGCUCAUUUUUUUCGAAACGGAAGAAACUCUCACACAUACACACAAUUAGAUUAGAAACACUCGGAAGUAAGGUAUACAAGAGUAAACUUCUAAUCUUAUGCAGUGUUAUCAUGACUUUUCUUGAGAGUUUAAAUGUAUUUUUUCAAAAAAAAAAAAAGAAACGAAAUGAAUUAAAAUAUUUUUGGACUGAAGAGGAGGCUUCUCUUGUAAGUUUUUGCUACCUACAUUGUUUAUCCUCAGAAAAUUUUUUUUAAAAAAAUAAACGAUUUAUUUAGUGUGUACACUGAUAAUGGUUUACCGGGUAAAAAUUAAAAGACUGGUUUACCGGAGACUUGCAAUGAGCUGGCCAGGGCUUAAAAACUAAAUCAUGCUGGGCUAGAGGUCGAGCAAGCUCUGCCGGAGGGGGCAGAACCACCAACAAUUUCUGGUCCAGCCCAUUUUGUUAAGCAAAAGACGGCCGGAUUGCAAUGGCCAGCGAGUAGCGACAAAAUGGGCCGGACCAUCAGUGGCCAACUUGUAUAUAUAUAUAUAUUUUUAAGCUAAAAUGGGCAGAGGCAUCUAAAAUGAUUCGCAUUUUUCAUGUGUUUUCGUGCACGUGUGUGCUUUUCCAGGUGACUGGAGAUCGAAGUGACGUACUGGAUACUACAUCGGAAGUUCACUGGGUUUAGUUUCGCCAAGUGAGAAAAAGGGCUCAUAAAAAAAAGAAAGAAAAAAAAUGGAGGGGAAGAACAACAGCAAUAACAGCGAUGGAGUGAAGAGAAAUGUAGGGGGAUGUGAUGUGGAGGCCCUGAAGAAAUGCUUGGCGGAGCAUAAAGAAGAUUACCACCUCAAGUGCCAACCCCAAAUUGAAGCUUUCAGAGGCUGUUCUUUGCACAAGUUCACCCCUUCCUACUCCUUGUCACCCCGUCCCCGCCCUAAUUCCAACUCCACCGCUACUUCUCUCGUCACUGAGCUCUGAUCUCUGCCUUUUUCUUGUAAUCCUGACUUGUUAAGAUUCUGCUCUAUAUAUACAAAUGUGAAAUGUGCUGGUCAUAUAUGUAAUAUGUACUGCAGAUAAAUUUGCACCAAUUUGUCAUCUCGAUUGAUUGUCGAAAACAGGACUACCCUUUUAAAGUCUUUUUUCCUAUUGAUCAACCAUUGUUACCGGAAAAAGAAAAAAGAAUUCUGGGCACUUGGAAAAUACAAUGUACGCACUUCAUAAUUGUUAAGGAAAGGCGAUUGUUUAAUGGGGAUGUCGUGGAAUAGUAAAUUACUCAUUCCUUC
rnacentral:lncRNA from 1 species